rnacentral:lncRNA from 1 species
AUUGCGUAGUGUUUUCUAUUGCUCUCUGUGAACUUAGGCGAUGGCAAAUAAUAGCAUCCUCCAGGUCUUCGUUGUUUUUCUCAUUGCACAAGUAUGCUUACUGAUGAUGAUGGCAGCACCAGUAGCGCAGGCAGCUGGCAGGCUUAUGGGAUACAAUCCCGUUUGCUGCCCUAGGGACAUCUACUGUUGUGGGUUUGGUGGUGUGAUGGCCAAUGGAACUGCAUCCUCCACCAAUCCUUGAUAUGUCGUCUCACUCUCCUCCGAGCUAUAAGCUAGGGCAUAUAAAAUGUGCUUCAAGUUGGUCGUUUCGUUUCUUAUAUGCAAUUUGUGCUACUAGUUUCAAGAAAUAUUAUGUGUAAGCUAUUUUGCUAAUAAAAGUGGGAGGAGAUUGUUAUCUAUGUUGUUUGCAAUGUGCCGCAAAGAGAUUUAAAAUUAUGUUUACUGUGUUUUUUGAGGAUCAUAUCACCCUAUAUUUUCAUGGUUAAACACAUGUUAUGAUAAUAAAGGUACCAUCCUUAGUUGAUUCCAGUUUAUUACUAAUCAUACCAGUUAACCCAUCACAUAGAGUGUCAAUUUUCUGCAGACAUCAAGCAACUUAACCCUCGCCAAAUCUUACUGAAUCAAGCUUCUAAAAACUUCUAAAACCCCCCGCAAAAAAAGCUUCUAAAAACUAGACGAGAACUAAUUUGUUUCCUUUUUCUAGCCCUUUUUUGCUUCAUCUUUUUUUCAGCGUUCUUCCCAAUGCCUAAAACCCCGACCAUGCAUGUGUACCAACCCAAUUUAGGUGAGGCACAGUGGCCAAGGCGUCAUGCCUGCUGAUGUAUUUGAACGCUCCGUCCGGCCGAUUGUUUCCUGGCACUCAGGAGGAGGACCUUCUUGGGCGCGACAGUUCUAUCACUCUAUCAGGAUGUCCUCGUGACAUGUGACACCUUGGGGUGUUGAGAAUGAGCAGAUCGAGCAUGCACAUCAGACGUUCGAGAAAUUGCUCGGCAUCUUGGGCGCUCUUGUCGUCUGCCAAACCGUGGACAGGGGCGUGUCCUCGUGGUGUGCUCAUCGAGGUUCCUGGUCGUGGUCGAGCUCUGGUUUAAUUUCCUCGUGUAUGGUCCCCAGUGUUAGUUCGACCUGGCGUGGUGUGGUACGGUGUACAUGAAGGUCUGGAUGUGCCUCGGUUAAGAUUAACGAUGUCAACGGUGGACCCUUCAAAUCGACACAAUAUUUGUCUGCGGACGAUCCAGACUUGUCAUGGAUCCGCAUAUAGGAACCGGCCAUCCAACUCUUUUCCCAAAACGUCCUCUUCUAUUAUUACUUUUAUAUAUAUAAAAAAUACUAGUAACCUUACACCAAAUAGCUAAAUUUCAACCUUCCACCAAAAGGCAUACCGCACAAAAGCAAAUUGAUGUGUGUUGCCAAUGACCUCCCACCAAACAAUGGGCCAGGAGUACAUGUGAGCAUCUACAUUCCGGUGUCUCAAACCCCCUCAUAUGCCCGGGCGAACAGCCGGUUAGUGACCGGUCAAAAAAACCCGACCUAGACGGACGCCUCAAACGGCCUCAAACGCCUGGGCUGAUCAACACCCCUCAUAUAUCCAACCUAAAUAUGGGGCGGAUAUGGGGAGGCCCGGGCAUGACCGUGCACGUCCGCCACGUAGGACCAGGCCCACACUAGCCAACUCGAGCCCACAUAAAUUCGUCCACAUCCCCUCCUCGAACCAAACCCUAUCCACUCCACCCCGUCACCCAAGCUCCCCUCCGGCGUUCUCCAGCCUUUUCCGGCAAGGCGGGUUGUGGAUCCGAGUCCUACACCUCCAAAUCGGUCGUCCUUGAGCUAAUCCCACAUGGCUCCGAGGAGGAGAUGACCAUCCGGCUUGCGCUCCGAAGCACAGUAAUAAUAUCGAGUAGCAUUCAGAGCUCGCUGGUAAUCCGCAUCUACCACCAACCAUCAACAAUGUAGCUUCAGAAGCCACUCCCGAAGGCCGUCCAACGGCAGCGCUCCAACUCCUUCCAUCGGGAAUCCACCGUGCCAUCCCAAACGGCGGCAUGGAUCUGCCGCUAGGUGUGUCAUCGCUACCUGACUAGAGGCGGUGCAGUCCAUCUGGCAUCCGAACGCGGUGACGGACGCGCAAUCGCUCCGCUGGAGCGCCAAGGUGGAGGACGCACCAUGGGCGUCAUCCCAUGCAAACAUGGCGCGUUGUGCACGCCAUGCGAGGCAGUGAGCACGGCAGGCGGCGGCAGCCCUCGCCGGCAGUGGACGUUGGCGAGGUGGAGUUGCAUUCUCUGGCGCGUUGGAUGUUGCACCAGUCCGGGCGCCACAACCGUGUCGUGGUGGAUGCCGCCGGCUCGUCCAGGACGGACCCAUUAUCGAUCUGACAUCCACCGCCACCGUCUGGGUUCCAAGCUCCGAUGAGGAAGAGCAGGACAUGGGAGAUGACGACGCCUUACGUCCCGUGAUCCAUCCCAUAAUUAUUUUUACAACUUCUAUCAGAGGUUUUGUAAAGAUUCUAGAAGCAUGUGAUCGUCUUUGUCAAGUUUAUGGUCAUUUUUUUCAUUUGGGCUUCGAUGUGUUUCUACUAUAGUUUUCUUUGCUUUUCUUAUUUUGUAUUUUUCUUUCAUUUUUUCCUUGUGUCAUUUAAAGUAAAUUCAAACAUCGCGCACUUUUCAAAAAAUUGCAUGCAUGUUUUUCAAAUUCAACAGUUUUUUUAAUUCUAUGAACAUUCUUCUCAAAUAUGUCAUCUAUUUUCCAACCUGUGAACUUUUUCAAUUUCAUGAAUUUGUUCAAAUCUGUGAAUAUAUUAUUCAGAAUCAUCACCAUUUUUCAGAACCACGAACAUUUUUAGAAAUCUGUAGAAAAACUCAAAUGUACAACCAUUUAUUUCUAGUUUGUGAUCCUUUUUUCCAAAUUUAUGAACUUUAAAGAAAAUCAUGGACAUUUUUGGAACGUGUGGUUAUUCUUUUAAUGUGCAAAUUUGUUUAGCUAUAAAAAUGAAAAUCAUUUUUCUCUUUCUAAAUCAACUAGGUAUGUGCCCGUGCGUUGUCACGGGAGCCAAAUCUUAUAAUGCACAAUAAGAGCAUAAUAUACGGUGACAAAUCCUGUUGUUUUUGAAGAUGGUUUUUAUAAUAAAAAUCGACGAGGAGGCUCGUUGUUUACGGAAAAAUACUGCCAAAUUCUUCAAUUGGUAGUAAUUUGGAAUGCUACAUCAAUAGAACUAAAUUUUAUUAGUUGGGGAAAUAAAUAAUGACCUAGUACACAUUAUCAGUCUAAUGAGAUGCAUACAGAUUAUGCAAAAUUGGAUUCUAAAAAAAUAGCACACUCCAACGUCAAUAGAUAGGAACUGCUAAAAUUCGGGUCACAUUGUACAUUCACUGUACCAUGUGACUUGCUAUACCUUUGUGUUUACCUACUGAUCUGAUGUACAAUCCUCGAUGCAAAUGAAUCAUAAAGAUUAACUUCCUUCUUAAAUUAAACAUGACCCAGUUUCGUCCUCUCUGCUGAUUGUGCAGAUGGUAAGUUCCGUCAUGCCAUAGCGUUUGAUAUGGUGAUUGUUCUUUCUGGUGAACUUAGUGGAUGAUAAUGCUUUGACAGUAGAUAGGAUGCAAGAGGAUCAGCAUGUAUAACUGAUUAGAAUUUUUGUAGAGAGAAAACAUAUUAGAAUUGGCUAAGUUGGUGCAACUAAAUAGCAAUUCACAUCCCAAUGCCCACGGGGCAAUGACUGCCACGUAGCAGUACUGCCUUGAAGAGUGACAUCGGUUGGUACAUCGGCUUCUUAGCGAAGCUAGGACCUGUCCAUCCUUCGUGUUCUUGAUCUUGGCGCAGAGUACGUUGGGGAUGUGGCUGAACAGAUAGACCGCACAGAUGCUGCGGAGAACAAGCAACGACCUCACCAAGGUUAGCCAGCAGCACGUUGACGAUGACCCAGUUUGGAAGCAAAGAUUGAGCGAAUCCAUUUACGUCAUGACAUGCAUACACGGGGAGAGAAGAUCAAUCAAGCGAGCUACAUGAAGGAGCGGUGAAAAAUCCGAUCAAAUGAAGGAAACAACACUUGCAAAGAUUCGCCAUGCCGUCCAGGUGUGCGGUCGAGGCGUGUGGAGGCGACAACGGCUACUCCCUCCGUCCAAAAAUACUUGUCAUUUAAAUUGAUGUAUCUAGACGUAUUUUAGUUCUAGAUACAUCCAUUUUUCAUCCAUUUUGAUGACAAGUAUUUCCGGACGGAGGGAGUACAUCGGUGGCAGCAUCCAGGUCGUGCUAUUCCGGCGCGUAAGGCUUCAUUUCCGUAGCAUCGGAUGUAGCAGAUAAAUGGCGACGGUUUGCGACGUGGUUUUCGGGCAGGUGAUUUCUGAUGCGAUUUUAAGGGAAGGUGUGACGCCCAUUGACACAUGUAAUUAUGGUGAUUGCGAUUCUUUAAGGGAAGAUAUGACUCCCAUUGGCGCAUAUAAUUAUGGUGAUUGUGAUUUUUAAGGGAAGGUGUGACGCCCGUGCUUCAUUGGGUCAUGUAAUUAUGAUGAUUGAAUCGAAUCGUCACUUGCCAAUCGAGAAAAAAGGUAGAGUGGAUGGACGAAGGUGGGCAGAACGCGGUAUGUCUGGCAGGAAAACGAACCUUAGGUUCUUUUUAGAUAGUAGAGAGUGCCAUCGGUAGGUACAUCGGCUGCUUAGCAAAGCUAGGACCUGUCCAUCCUUCAUGUUCCUAUCUUGGCGCAGAGUACGUUGAUGAUGUGGCCGAACAGAUGGACUGCACGGAUGCUGUGAAGAACGAGCAACGACCUCACCAAGGCUAGCCAGCAGCAUGUUGACACAUGACCUAGUCUAGAAGGAAAGAUCGAGCAGAUGCAUUUACGUCAUGGCAUGCAUAAACAGGGAGGGAAGAUCAAUCAAGUGAGCUACAUGAAGCAACAAUGAAAAAUCCGAUCAAAUAAAGGAAACAACACUUCUAGAGAUUCGCCAUGCCGUCCAAGUGUGCAGUCGAGGCGUGAGGCGGCGACAACGGCUACAUCGGUGGCAGCAUCCAGGCCGUGUCGUUCUGGCGCGUAAGGCUUCGUUUCUGCAGCAUCGGAGGUGGCGGAUCAAUUGCGACGUGAUUUUCGGACAUGUGAUUUCUGAUGAGAUUUUAAGGGAAGGUUUGGGGCCCAUUGACGCAUGUAAUUAUGGAGAUUGCGAUUCUUUAAGGGAAGGUGUGACUCCCAUUGGCGCAUGUAAUUAUAGUGAUUGCGAUUUUUAAGGGAAGGUAUGACGCCCGUGCUCCAUUGGGUCAUGUAAUUAUGAUGAUUGAAUCAAAUCGUCAUUUGCCAAUCAGGAAAAAAAGGUGGAGUGGAUGGACGAAGAUGGACAGUCAGAACGCGGUCCGUCUGGCAGGAAAUGGAACGUUACGUUCUUUUUAGAUAGCAGAGAUGGAAGCAGUGGCGGAGCUUCAUUGGGGCUAAUGGGGGACCCUCAAGUCUGAUUAGCCCCCUAAACAAUCUUUAUCAAGCUCUGGCAGUGGGUGGAGGCCCCAAGAGGCCAAACAAACGAGGCAACCACCUAGCAAUUACCGGAGUGAGGCGGGAGACCGUCCGACCGCGGCGACAGAGUCGAAUGCUACUGGGUUGUGACCAACCUAGCGCGGCAUGAGUGAAAGCCAUCGUGACCGCCUGAAGGAGAGCUCCUGUUCGGCGCCUUAUGCGCCCAAACAGCUCCCUAGCGCCUGAAGGAGAUGUCUACUGGGCCGGCCCAGAAACCUUCGCUUGAUAAAAGUUCAUUGAUUUUUUAAGUUCAUCAAAAUUGAAAAAAGCUCAUCGAACCUGAAAAAAAGGUUCAUCGAAUUUUAGCAAAGUUCAUCAUAAUUGAAAAAAGUUCAUCAAAAUAUAAUAAAAGUUCAUCGAAUUUGAGAAAUGUGCAUCAUAAUUCGAAAAAGUUCACCGAAUCUGGAAAAUAGUUCAUCGAUUUGUUGAAAAAAGUUCAUCGAUUUCUAAAAAAAGCUAAUCGAAUUAAAAAAAAUCAUCGAAUUUAGAAAAAGUUCAUUGACUUAAAAUGAGUUCAUCGAAUUUGGAAAAACUUCAUUGCGUUUGCAAAAAAGUUCACCGAAUUAGAAAAAAGUUCAUCCAAUUUGAAGAAAAGUUCACUACAUUUGAAAAAAGUUCAUCGAACUUGAUAAAUAGUUCAUCAAAUUUUGGAAAAAAGUUCAUCGAAGUUAAAAAAAAGUUCAUUAAAUCCGGUGAACAUUACGAAUUAGAAAAAAGGAAAAAAUAAAAAUAAAAAAUAAAAAGAAAAUAAGCAAGAAAAAGAAAAGAAAGAACAAAAAAGUUAAGAAAAUGUACUUGAUCAUAAAUCGUUGAGUGGCAGGGUGGUUAUCACGUGGCACGCUGAACCGCUACGGCGCGGGUUCGAGUCCUCCCAGUAUGUGUUUUUUGCAUCAGUUUAGAAAGAAAGAAGGGAAUUUGGGCCGGCCGGCGUCGCGAGCGGGGGUAUGCGCCCUGUACGAUUAACAUUGUAUUCGGCGCUGAGGCCGCCAAAUAGUAUUUGGGCGCCUGAAGCGCUGAACAGGCGCUCCCCAUUUCAAACAAGAACGAUAAGGGCUCCUCGUCAACGCCUUCAUGGGCCGGCCGAAAACAGCGCGUAGUUUGGUAGUCAAAAGUCGCGGUUGACCAGUCUGCCCAUUGAUUUUUAAAAUACGCAAAAAAAAUCCAAAAAUUCCAUGAAUUGAAAUUUUUCAUGGUUUAAGAUACUCAAAUUCAAAAAUAGUUAGAAAAACAAGGUUUUGAAAAGAAGUUCAAUGAUUUGAGAACAAGAUCAUUGAUAUUUUAAAAAGUUCACGAAUUUUGCAAAUUUGGAAAAAGUUCAUCAAUUUUUCUAAAGUGAUGGAUCUAAAAAAAGUCUAUUGGUUUUGGAAAAGAAGUUCACGAAUUAUGAGAAAAUCAUAUGCAUGGAUUUGAAAAUAUAAGAUUGAUUUCAUUAAAAAGUGCAUGCUGUUUGAGAAAAAAGUUUGUAGAUUUCGAAAAAAUUCAUCGAUUUUGAAAAAGUCCACAAACUUAAAAAAGUCUCAUCAAACAUAAAUUUUUUAAAAAGUUCAUCAACUUUGAAAAAAAUUAGGAAUUUGGAAAAUACUUUAUGGAUUUAUGUUCGUCAAUAAUGAAGAAAAUUUCACGAAUUAAAACUUUCUUCGAUUUUAAACAUAAGUUCACGAAUUUGGAAAAUGUUUGCGCAUUUAUGAAUACAAAAUAUACAAAUAAAAAAUAAAAAUAAAUUAAAAGGAACAAGAAAAAUGAAAAAAAGAAGGACCGAAUAAGGGUGGUUCGAAAACUGACCACUGAACCUAAAAAACGGUUUGCGAAGCUUAUGGAAGCUUGGCAAACUGAGGGCUUGUGCGAACUCAAGAAUGAAGAAAAGAAAAGGAAAGUAAAUAGGCAUAAGUGUUACUAUAUCCUAGCCUCCUAGGUCUCAAAAUCAAAUCCCGUCGCCUGCACCCUUAUUUUGAAGUUGAACAGAAAAUAGAAAGGUAAAUGGGUAGGCCCAGCGAGGAGGGGGGGGGGGUGCGCCGGUUGGCGAAAUAACCUUUAACUGAAGCUGCAAUCACCAAAUAGGGUUUGCAAUGAAUGAUAUGUAUUGCUAAUUUUGCGGUAUGUAUCAUCGACAAUGCUCCGUAGUGAGACACAUGGUUUUGCACCAGUUUUGGAGGCAUCUAUCCGGUUUUUGGAAUCCUCCAGCAUUUUUUCCUAUUUCCUUGUUGCUUUUAUGGUUUAUUUUUUAAUUUAGUUUUUCUAUUAUUCUCGUUUUUUACUUUCACUUUUUCUGUUCUUUCUCACUUUUCUGAAUUUUUAAAUAUCCAUUCAAAUUCGCGAACAUUUUUCAAAUUGGCCAAAAUUUUUGAGUUUACGAUAAUUUGCCGAAUUCCUGAAUAAUUGUUAACAUUUCGAAAUUUUUAUUGUAUUAGCGAAGAUUGUCAAAUUCAUAAACCAUUUUAAUCCAUUUUAUAAAAUUUAUUGAUAUUACUGAAAAUAAUGAGAAUUUUUUAUUUUAUGAACUUUGUUGAAAUUUGUGAUCAUUUUUCCAAUUUGGGAACAUAUUUUAAAUUGAUAAACAAUUUUUCAAUCUUUCAACAUUUUCUGAGUUUGUGAUUCUAUUUUGAAUGAUGAACAAAUUUUCAAUCUGUGAAUAUUUUCUGAAUUUGUGAAUCUAUUUUCAAUGACAAACAAUUUUUCAAUCUGUGAACGUUUCAUGAAUUUGUAAAAAAAAUGCAAUUACAGACAUUAUUGCAAAUUCAAAGAGACAUUUCAAAAUUGUGAAGUUUCUUCAAACUGAAGAAGAUUUUUUUCAAUGUCAUGAAUAGUUUUUUAGUUCACUAACUUCUUUUUAUUGACAAAAAAGUUCUAACUGGGACAUUUUUUGAAUGUGUGAAUUGUUUUAAUUUAUGAACAUAUUUCCAGUCAAUGAGAUAAUUUAUUUCUUUAAAACCCUUUUGAAUUCUUUCUUUUUCAAUUUUGUGAACAUUUAUGGAAACUCAUUAAUAUUUUUGAGUCCGUGAGAAUUUUUUGUAGCCACGAAUAUUUUCAAAUUCGUAGACACUUUCUAACUUCAUUGACAUUUUUUUAAUUCACAAACAUCAUUUAAAAAGUCAAUGAUUUUUGAACUCAAGUAAAUGUUUUAAAGUCGUGAACAUAUUUCAAAUUGGGAUUUUUUUUGGAAUUUGGAAGAUUUUUUAAUUCACAAAAAAAUGAUUUAAGAACAUAUUUUUUGGAAUCACAAAAAAAUAUUGUCCUGAACAUUUUUGUAUUCCAAAAUUUUUUGUCACCCUAUAAAUUUCUUUAAAAUACGUGAACAUUUUCUUGAAAUUAGAACAAAAUCUCAUUUUUAUCAUUUUGAAUUCACUGAUAAUUUUCGAAUUAGCUAUUUUUAUUCUCAUUUUUUAUAAAAUCUCAAAUUUUUGAAAUUGAUUAAAGCAUUAAAUUUAUGAACAUGUUUUUAAAUAAAAUAAAAAUGAAGUGAAUAAAAUUAAAAAUUAAGAAUUAGUGAAUUAAAAUUAUAUUUUGGGAAAAAAAGAAAAGAGCAACAAAUUGCAUUUAGGCUCUAGUAGCUAGCUUCCUACCUAGUUGUGCACUGAUGGGCUGCUGCAUCGAGUACUGUUGAUCUAUAAGAUCAGUCUAGAGCCUUCUAUACUACAUAGCCAUGUGAUGCCUAUUUCAAACACAUGAGCUCGUGGGCCUUCCCAAGACCUGGGCCCUAGGCGGUGGUCCCUUCCCGCCUAGACCUAGAACCGGCUCUAUGCCGAUGAUGGCGUGCCGGUAUCGACAUGGUCCCCUCGUGCAUGGCUACGCUUUAGUUCUCGGCCAAGUGUGGUCCGGGUGUUGUGCCCGACCAUUUGGAUGGCAAAGUGUGCAUCGACAAUGACUCAUCGAUGUAUUGUCUGUGCUGGGUUGAGUAGGCAGGGUCAACACAACACAUGGUGGCGAGCGAGGUCAGAAGUGGCUACGUACGGGUCACAAUGAUCGCGUUAUUAUAGGAAAGCUCCUAAUAGUUGGGGUGAAGACCUUAGGUAUGAAUCGAGAUGGUUUUACCUAGCAAUGAUGGUUUUACCUUAUUGAAGACAUUGCUCGAAUAUGCACAGACUUGUUCUUUAGCGUGAAAACUUAGAACCUAGCAUUUGGUAAUUGGACCUGGUGAUAGCAACCGUUUAAGCGUCGUUUUCUUUCUGAAGGUGUUGUUUCUGAAGAGCAUUUCUCAUUGUCCUUGUGGUGUCAAGAACUCAAGAUAUGGUUGGUUUGGAUUUGGUCGUUGUUUGUCGAUAGAUGUUUUGGCUGCUUCGUUUUUCUUUCUUUUCCUGCUUAGGUUUAGCGUUGUUGAUCUUAUAUGACUUUGCUAUUUGUUGGUGUCUUUAUUUAUGUAUGUGCAUUGAUAUUGACUUGUGCAUCCUAUAACUAUACAGAGGUCUAGUAUGUGUGCUCCUUAUGCUUGUAUCCCUUAUACUUCAUUUUGAGUCAUAGAAAUCCACUCUUUAUCGAACAAUGGUAAUCUCCCAAUGUGCAUAGAUAUGUCUAGCUUACGAUUUAUCCUCUGAGCGCAGAAUGUCAAGGAGGGUUGCUUAGUGGCAUCCACUCACCUCGAACUGAAUAGGAGAAGGGGGUGGCGGAGAUGAGAUGAGAGAAAUACUCCAUCCGUCCCAUAAUACAGGAGAGGAUCGCUAGUGUAAAAAAUGUUGUUAUAUUAUGGGACAUAGGGACUAGUAUUUGUUCCUUUUCCUGAUCAAUUGAUUGCCACUUCAAGUCAAAUGGUAUGGGAGAAAUGAGUGGAGACCCCUCACGCGAAAGAAUCGAAUUGCAGAUUUGGGGGGACUGGAGAAGAAACAAUCGAGGGUUUGCUUUCCGUACGAGAAACCUCGACUAUACGGUAGAUGCGAGUGCACCGGGUUGCUAGCCUAGAAAUUCUUUUUCCUGAGUAAAUUCAGAUUGUUUUUCGCUGAGUGAAUUCAGAAUGCCAGCCGGCAUUGUGUGGAACUGUUAAAAAUCACUAAUUAAGACAUACUCCUUGCAAAGCUCACUCCCACAUUUUCAGUUUGUGAUGUACGCCACUUGUCGUGCGUCCAAAUUUCGAAUCAUUUUCACUAUUAGAUUUCUUGCCUCGAGAUCUUCAAAACUAGAUCGCAUGUUGAUAAGUUUUGACGAACUUUUUUUCACGAAAAAAACCGGAUGAAAAAACCGAACCGGGAGCAUGGCUUUUUCCCCUUUCCCAAAGAGACAAGGCAGUGCCUUUCACGAAAUCACAACCGUGCCUCUCCGUAAGAAAAAAAAACAGAAAACACAUUCUCCUUUCCGUUUCCGAAAAGCACGGCCGUGCCUCUCGCGAAAGCACAAUCGUGCCUCUCGCGGAAGCAAAACCGUGUAUCUCGCGAAAGGAAAAAAAAUAGUAAACAUGUUUUUUUUCAUUUUCGAGAGGCACGGUCGUGCUUCUCGCGAAAGCAAAACUGUGUCCUCGCGGAAGCAAAACCAUGCCUCUGGCGGAAGAAAAAAAAACAGAAAACACGUAUUUUUUCAUUUCCGAGAGGCAUGGUUGUGCCUCUCACAAAAGCAAAAACCGUGCCUCUCGCAGAAGUAAAACCGUGACUCUCACGUAAGCAAAAAAACCGCAUAUUUUCGCACAAAUUUUUUUCGGCGUCCAAAAACUAAGGAAGACUUGUGAAAAACUAGUUUAAAAAGCCGAAAACACGUGCAAAAAAAAAAUAAAGAAUCUGAAAAGAGUGCCCAAAGCGCGACACGUGACGGUGGCUNNNNNNNNNNNNNNNNNNNNNNNNNNNNNNNNNNNNNNNNNNNNNNNNNNNNNNNNNNNNNNNNNNNNNNNNNNNNNNNNNNNNNNNNNNNNNNNNNNNNNNNNNNNNNNNNNNNNNNNNNNNNNNNNNNNNNNNNNNNNNNNNNNNNNNNNNNNNNNNNNNNNNNNNNNNNNNNNNNNNNNNNNNNNNNNNNNNNNNNNNNNNNNNNNNNNNNNNNNNNNNNNNNNNNNNNNNNNNNNNNNNNNNNNNNNNNNNNNNNNNNNNNNNNNNNNNNNNNNNNNNNNNNNNNNNNNNNNNNNNNNNNNNNNNNNNNNNNNNNNNNNNNNNNNNNNNNNNNNNNNNNNNNNNNNNNNNNNNNNNNNNNNNNNNNNNNNNNNNNNNNCAAUGGUUAAUCCCUAAAUAGGAGAGGAUUUCCUGCCAAGAAAAGGAGAGGAUUUGCCUUGUUGAUUCUUCCCAUUAAUUAUCAUAUUUGUAGACUUGUUUUUAUGUCACUAGAUGCAGUGAACGCGUCUAGGUUCAUCCUCCUGAUACAAUUUCAUAUAUUUUUAAGAGGCAUUUAUUAUUUAAAUAAUAUAUUAUCUUUCCUAUUCUUUUUUACCACAAGUGCUAUCCUCAAUACUCAGCUAUUUUGUUUUAAUGGAAUUUAUUAGGAUAAGCACGGGCUUCAUGCCAUGUAUCCAUAUAAAUUGACUAUUUGCUAGGAUCAAACACAAACAGACAAGUGAAAAGAGUAUUGCAUAGUGUUUUCUACUGCUCUAUGUGAACUUAGGCGAUGGCAAAUAAUAGCAUCCUCCAAGUCUUCAUUGUUUUUCUCAUUGCGCAAGUUUGCUUACUCAUGAUGAUUGAAGCACCGGUAGCGCGGGCAGCUGGCAGGCUUAAGCGACUCAAUCCAGUUUGCUGCCCUAAGGAAAUCUUUUGUUGUGCGUUCGGUGGCAUGAUGUCCAAUGGAACUGCGUCCUCCACCAAUCCUUGAUAUUUUUUUUCAUUCUCCUCCGAGCUAUAAGCUAGGGCCUAUAAAAUAUGCUUCAACGUGGUCGUGUUGUUUCUUAUAUAUAAUUUUUGUUAUUAGUUUCAAGAAAUAUUAUGUGUAAGCUAUUUUGCUAAUAAAAGUGGAGGAGAUUGUUAUCUAUGCUAUUUGCAAUGUGCCGCAAAGAGAUUUGAAAUUAUGUUUAAUUUAGUGUUUUUAGAGGAUCAUAUCAUCCUAUAUUUUCAUGGUUAAACACAUGUUACGAUAAUAAAGGUACCAUCCGUAGUUGAUUUCAGUUUACUACUUAUCAUAGCAGUUGACCCAUCACAUGAACUCACAGUUUCACUUUUUCUUAAGGUGCCUUUGUUCUGUUGGUAAUUUUCAAAUUUUACAUUUUCAUUGGUGUUUCUUUUUUCUAGCCCAUUUUUGCUUCAUCUCUUUUUUAGCAUUCCUCCCAACGCCUUGACACCCCAACCAUGCAUGUGUACUGACCCAAUUUAGGUGAGGCACGGUGGCCAAGGCAUCAUGCCUGCUCAUGUAUUUGAACACUCAGUUGUUUCGUGGUACAGAGGAGGACCUUCUUGCUCAUGUGCCACCAUUUGAAGGAUCUCGGUGCGGCAGUUCCACCAGGAUGUCCUCCUGAGAACAUAGUCGGACUCCUCAAAUUGAUCGGGUAGGUGCGGGGACAACUGAGCAGAUAUGAGAGAGAAACAAAAAGUAGCAAAAGGUUGACCCAACCGGAUCCCUCAUAUCAUCCAUAUACGCCCGGGCUGUCCAUGAACUCUCAUAUCCAUCUCAAAUAUGGGGAGGAUAUGAGGCCUCGCGGACGCGCCCGGGCGUGCUCGGUCAGUCCGCCACAUAGGACGAGUCCCCACCCCGGACCACAUUUUCUCUUUCUUUAUUCAUUCUUUUCUUUCUCUUUCUUCAUCUUCACCAAUCACAUGCACGUGACCGAACAUAUGGGGAAGAAUAGCAUACCCCAUAAAAGCCACAUAAACCCAAUUUAGUUUGAUUUAUGCCAAAUUAGUGUUUGUUUCCUAUGACCUCCCGCCAAGCAAUGGGCUAGGAGUACAUGAUUUCUGUCAAAUAUGUCAUGUUGGUUGGUUGUUUCCCUUCCUUCAAAUAGCACCAGCCUUCUGCCAUCCUACACGGAUGAGGGUACAUGAGGACUUCUGAUUGGCCAGGCGGAUGUCCGGACAGCCGCAAAGUUCCCGCAACUUCUUGUCCUAUUUGUGGGAUUCUAGACAGUCACACGAGUCCACGGACAUACGCAAGAUGGGUUGGACGGCAAACUGCGUCCAGACAGUUCGGUCCUGGUGUUUGCGAGGCAUUUGAGGGUCGUCUUUGGAGUUGCCCACAAGGGCCUCUUCGAUUCGUAGGAAUUUCCAAAUGCAAGAACAAGAAAAAUACAUGAUUGAAGUGGACAAUCCUAUAAGAUACAAAAGGGAGCGUUUGAUGCCAAAGAAAAAAAAUUAGUAAAAGAGGUUGGAGUGUAUGAACUGUAGUACAUAUAAUUUCUUAAGAAAAAUCCCUAUAGGAUAUAAUCCUACAAAUCAAACAACCAACCUAGAAAUACUUCAUAAGGAAUCUACUCCUCCAAAUCCUAUGAAAUUUGUUCUUUUUGUGUGUGGGGAAAACCUCUAAUCAAUUCGUGAAACAUCAUGGCAGUACAAAGAACACCCAAAGUAAAAGAAAUCACAUCCAUGUCCGUAGAGCACCUAGCCAUGACUACAAGCACUGGAGCGAGCCGAAGGCGCGUCGCUGUCAUCGCUCCUCCCUCGUCGAAGCCAGGUAAACCAUGUUGAAGUAGAGAGUCAGGAAAUUGACGAGCUAAGGCCUCAAUGGUCCAGCGCCAGAAAGGAAAACUGCCGCCGAUGAAUAGAAGCGUAGAUCAAAAGCGUUCAACCUGUAGACACAAGAAUGCAAAUGAAUAAAAACCUGAUCCAAGCUGAUUCACCAAAGACAAACAUCGACUGAAUCAUGCAACAUCCACCACUGAUAGACUUCCACACACCCUCUGACAAUGUUACAUGCACAACCGAGACAUGGGUUAGGGGGAGAACCUUAUAACAUAUUCAGGGAGCCGCCACCGUCGCCUUGUCUUCCUGAACCCUAAAUCUUAAUCUCCAAGUGCACACAUGGGGGGCUGCUGAGUGGCCUCGGCUCUCCUCGAAUCCAUUCAUAGAAAGGGGGAAGGAUAUGGGAUGGUUUGAGUACAAAAAAUCAUCACAAUUGGGGCUAGAUCUCAUAUACCACUAGACUUACUAACAAUCACAAUAAAACAAUCAAAAUUGAGACAAGGUUGUAAUAUAUAGCACUACUCUGUAGCUAAACGUGUUCUAACAUCGAAUCUGACCAAUGGGACGACCCACUUAUCAUGAUGACAUGGCAUGUACACGUGGAUAGUUUAUUUGGUUGGAGGUCUCACUAGUCAUCUUGCCGUCUUAUUUCCCUCUCUCCCCCUUCUUUGUCCAUGAGAAGCCAAACACCGACGAAAGGGCAGGCGAACAUUGGGAGGUAGGGGUGAUUGGCGAACCCAAUGCUUACUCUCCCCUUCCUCCCCACCGCUUCGUCCUGGAGGUUGAAGCACCGCUAGAGAUGGGAGCAGCGGUAUUAGGAUUUGGGAGAGAAAGAGAGGAAAAGAAGAUGGAAGGAUGACAAGUGGGACCCUCGGCCAAAUCAUCAAAUUAUCUACGUUUAACAAUUUUCAAAUGCAUGAUUAACAUUUUUAAUAUAUUUGUUUUUUACGCCUACUUGUUUCCACAGACCUUGUACAUUUGGUUAUACAUCAUAAACAUGUUAUGUAUAUAUUUUAACAAAAAUCAAUACAUGAUUAAUAUUUUUGCAAACAUAUAUUUUAAUAUCCACUUUUUUUCAUGCACGUUGUACAUUUUCCGUAUACAUUAGAAUGUUUUUGUAUAUAUGUUUAACAUGUUUCAAAUGCAUGACUAACAUUUUUAAUUUUUGACAUAAAGUGAUAUUUCUAUCAUAUAUAUUUAGAAUAUUUCCAAAUAUAACUAAAAGCAAAAAAAGAAAUUAGAAAACAAAAGCAAAAUGCGAAAAACUGAAAGAAAACGAGUGCUUAAUGCCGCACAUGCAGGGUCGGCCCUGUAACGCAGGUUAGAGAGGUUCCCGCGCCCACACGACUGCACAUAUGGACCGGGCCAUCGCGUGUGACACGAGCGCUCAACAGCGGGAAGCUCGUUCGGUUUGGGUCUGGUCGAAAACAAAAAUGCUCGGUGGCUUUGGGUCUGGUCAACCGUUUUGAACUAAAAAAAUAUGUAUCAGAAAAACCAAACAAAUAGCCAAAUGCGGAAAAGAUUUGAAUUCAAAUAAUUCCAUGCAUUUUGAAAAAAUGCAAAAAAACUCAUGAUUUUGAAAAGGCACUAAAUUUUAAAAAGUUCAAGAUUUUGCUAAAAAAAGUCAUUGAUUUUGAAAAAAAGUAAAUUGAUUUUACAAAUAAUCAUAAACUUUGAAAAAACCCCAUGAAUUUUAAAAAAGUUCAUCAAUUUUUAUAAAAGAUAGCAAAAUUAAAACAAUCAGUGGAUUUUAGAAAAUCAUCAAUUUCAGAAAACAAUUCACUAGUUUUAAAAAAGUCCACCGGAUUUUAAAAAAAGGUUCAUGUAUUUGAAAAUAAUUCAUCAAUUUUGAGAAAAAAAGUUCAUGAAUUGAAAAGGUUCAUCAAUUUGAAAAAAAACAUGAAAUUGAAAAGGGUUCACCGAUUUUCAGAAACAAUCAUAAAAAUGAAAAGGUUUAUGAAUUUGAAGAAAGUUUGCGAAUUAAGUGAAAUAAAGCAAAAAAGAAAGGAAAACGAGAAAACAUAGAAAAAAGGCCAAAAAUAGCAAAACACGAGAAAGAAAAACCAUGGGGCGUGAUGUUUUUUUUACUUUACAUUUACCUCAAGAUGAAAGAAAGAGGUACAUGGGAACAACAACCAUGUUGGUGCAAUGGUUAACACCACCGUGUCGGAGCAAGGAGUGCUGAGUUUGAAUCCUCUCCAUCUCACACUUUUUUGAACCUUAGAAAGAAAGGAAAAUGGGGAAAUGAACUGAACCCAGGGCGGUGGGGGUGUGUGCGCCAACUAUCACAAAGCACUAUAGUGGAUGCUGAAGGCACCAUAUUGGAAUUGUUGAGUGCUCCUGCCGUCUCGCGUGAACCACUUCUAUGUAUCGUUGUAAGCAACUGUGUGAGCUUGCUCACCUACGAUGACCCCUUCGUGGGCCUGCCCGGUGAGGAGAGCGACACCCUCCCAGUCCCGAGCCACGUGUGGGGCAUGUGACAUGUACAUCUCGCACUUUUUUGAACCUUAGAAAGAAGGGAAAAAGGGAAAAUGUGUCGAGCCUAGGACGACAGGGGUGUGUGCGCAAGUAGUAAAAAGCACUAUGACGGGAAGCUGAAGACGCCGUAUAGGAAUUGUCGAGUGCUCCUGCCGUCUCGCGUGAACCACUACUAUCUAUCGUUAUAAGUGACUAUGUGAGCUCGCUCGCGUACAGCGACCCCUUCGUGGACAUCUCGCUACUUGAACCUUAGAAGAAGGAAAAACAAGGGAAAAUGGGUCGAGCCCAGGACGGAUUGGGGUUUGUGCGCCAAGUAGCAAAAAGCACUAUGAUGGGCGCUGAAGGCGCCAUACAAAAAUUACCGAGUGCUCAUGUCGUCUCGCGUGAACCACUACUAUGUACCAUUAUAAGCAACUACGUGAGCUCGCUCGCCUAUAGUGACCCCUUCAUGAGCCUGCCCAGUGAGGAGGGCGACACCCUCCCAGUCCCGACGAGCCACGUGCAGGGCAUGUGACAUGGAUGUCUUUUUAUUUCUUUCUUUUCACAAAUUAAUUUUCGUUUUUUCUUCCAUGACCGGUCUAAAAAAUAAAAUAAAAUGUGUUUAUACUUCUAGUUAUUGAUAAAGUUCGUGAAAAUUAAAAAAACUGUUUCCGGGAAUAAAAUUAUCCCUGUAAUUUAAAUUUGUUCAUAAAUCUACAAAAAUGUGUUUGAUUCCUAAAACUGUUCAUGAAUACGGAAUGUCCAUGAAGUAGAAAAUAUAUUCAUGAUUUGACAAUUUUUUCACUAAUUCAUUAAUUUUUCAUGAAUAUAAAAAAUGGUUGUGAUUCAAAGAAAAUGUUCGUGAAUUCAAAAACUGUCCACGAAUUGAAAAACGGUCCACUGAUUCGAACAAAUGCCCGCGAAUUCAUUAAGAUGUUCAUGGUUUUUAAAAAUAUUCACAGAUUUUCAAAAGAUAAUCGAAUUUGAUUUUUUAGAAAUUAUCACUAAUUAGUAAGAAAGAAAACGGAAACAAAAAAAAAAUAGAAAGAAAACUGAAAUUUUUUCAUGAGAAAAUAGAAUAAGGGAAAAGAGAAGAACCUUCCGGAACCUUCCCAAAACCGAACGGAAGGUUCGCAAAAGCGUUCCUGUUUCUGGAUGUGAACAGUUCACAUCGGAGCGUGAGUUGGCGAGUUCUUGCUUAGUGCUCACUAAGGCGAUAGAUAUCAUUUCUGACAUAAUAUGAACAGCCUAUAUGGACGUCCUAUCAAUAGGCCCGUGACGCCUAUUUUAAGAACACGAUCUCGUCGGUCGUCAUGAGGUGGUGCAUGGCUGCUCUUUAGUGCUCCACCUCCACGCCGUGUAGGGCCCUGUCGGGAGGUCCUAUUCGGCGUUGUAGGUGUCUGAACCUGAAAAUGGCGCACCUCGUGAAGCAGAGCUCGGGUGCAAGAACCUCAACGUUCAACGACGAGGUUACGAGGGGCUGCUUGUCACCUCGCCUCGCUACACCUCACACCAGUAAGUCCCGUCUUUCAUCAAUGAUGGUUCAUUCGAGGAAAUUAACAAUAAUAACAGUUUGAUUGUCGACAUGUUCCCACUCCCAGGUUGAACUCUACUGUCCAUGCCAAGAUCGGAGACGUCAGACUGCACAUUGUUGGCAAGGAUGAAUACGAUGAUGAGCUUCCUGUCAAGGAGCCGAGGUUUUUGCAGAUUGAACAACCUAACCAUACACUUCCUAGACGAGUACAGGAGGAUUUGCCGUCCAAACUAGGCUUGGACAUCCGGGUGCUGCUACCCACCACAAAGGAAAAGAACCCUGCAACCUUCUCAAGAGAUAUAUCAUCGUUCAGCUCUGAGUCUUGAGGUGGCAGUGAAAUUGACCUCCCUUUGUAAGUAUGAAAAAACAGAAGUAUAAACAAGUAAAGGGUUCUGGAAAGUAACUUAUGUUCCAGGACAAGUUCUCUUAAGUUUAUAUAGCAUGGUGAUUAGAAAGAAAUUAGAACUUGAGCAUUGGCGGUGAAUUAUAUAUCUCAAAAGAGUGAUCAAACAGAGAUGAGAGAGAGAGAAGAUAAGGAGUAUACCCUGACUUGAUUAAUUGCCGUAGCAGGUUCGCAUUCCCUGGCCUCCUCUUUAUGUAUCUUAAACUCUCUCGCACCUUCUUCCCGGACACACACACACACACACACACACACACACACACAAGGGCACAAGGUCCUUCCUUGUGAACCUCAACACGAGGAGGUCCUUUUGUCGUCCCGCCUUCAUGUCUGUCUAAUGUUUAAGGAAUUCUAGUUCGUUCGUUACAGAAACUGUAGUACCGAAUACAUCAACUAGGUGUGCGCCAACGUUACUGCUACCAUGUUGUUUUGUCAUUGUCUAACUUCCCUCCUCGCAAGGCCGAGCAAAUAAUAAUACUAACUAACAAAAAGGCCCGUCCGUUGCAACGGGAGAGAAAAUACCACACACUCUUAAUUUAUAAAAAAUGUUCUAUAAUCUGAGAAUUUGUAGUUAUUUCUUAAAUACAUGAAGAGUUAAAAAGGUUGUUAAAAAGAUACAAGAUUUUUUAAUCAUAAAAAAGAUUUUUUUUGUCUGGAAAAGAACAUUUUUUAUGGUCUCAUGUUAACGCAGGUACUUGCGCCCCUAUUUUAUCACUAUUUUUUGCCAUACAUGUUGUAGGUAUUGGUCCCUGUUUCACCAUAUUUAUUUCUUAUUAAACUUGUCUUUUAUUUUAUUUUUUGUCAUGCAUGCCUCCUUUUUACUUUUUUCAUGCAUGUCCUCUUUUCCUUCUUCUUAUAUAUAGGAGAAUAGCGCAACAUCUCAUCUUUAUCGGAUCUCCUCUGCAAUUUCUCUUUUAUUUUUUUAUAGCGGACAUCCCAUCUUUGUUUGGUCCUUUUAUUUCUUGUAAUGCAUGUCCUUAUUUAUUGGUGUCUCUAACAAAUUUAUCUUUAAUUUGAUGUCCAAUCCUGAUUUUGCUGAGGUGUUCAUCCCCAGUCUGAAUCAGUACCCUAUGAAAAAAGACAGAUAAUGCAUUGUUGAUUAACAUUGCAGCCUAGAUAGUGUUUUUAAAAUUGUUAACAGGUAAAAUAACAUCACAUUUAGAUUCUACAUAUUUUUUAAUCAAAUUUCAUAUAUGAUAUGUUAAAUUUGGAGUUACGGUUUAAAAGAUAUGAGUAUUUUAAAAAACAUUUGAUAUGUACUGCGGAUAUAAUGUCAGAAACAUCAGGGGUUUUUCUACAAAAUAGCAUGAUGGACUAAGAAAAUCUAUUUCUUUUAUUAGUAGGUAUAGAUAUGAUUGUUGACAUGUUCCCAGGUCGGUCUUUAUUAUACAUGCCAUGAUCAAAGGCGUUGUAUAUUGUUGGGGAGGAUUGAUAUGAUGAUGAGCUUCCCGGUGAGGAGCUAAUGUUUUUGCCGGUUUAAGUACAUGAAGAUCUGCUCGUGCCUUGAUGAGGUCAUUCAACCAGAAAACCAGCAAAACGACGGUGAUCAUCGUCCAACUCCAAACCAGGCUUGAGCUUCCAAGUGUUGUUGUCUGCGAAAAAGCAAAAGGUGCCAUGUAAACAUGGGUACAUAAUCAAAUCCGAGAACUAGUAUAUAUAUGUGCAAUUGAGAAAGAUUUCACAUGUAUCUACGUAGGUAGUCGACCAGGGUAGGGUGCUUGAGCUUUGUAAAAAUAUCAGAUUAGAGAACUAACAUGACUUUUUGGAGAAGAGUCGCGUGUGUGUCAACAAAAUCUUAAUUCUUUAAAAAAGUUAUUAGAAAUCCAACAUUUUGAUCAGUCCACUUGGCUUCAGUGUCAACAUGAAAAAGAAAUCAUGAAAUAUUCUAUGUAAGAUUUUGGCUCUAGCCUUUCCAAGCGUGUGAUCACAUAGGAAACAUGAGAAACUCUAGCACACACAAAGUCAUCUCUCACAAAAUGUGCUUUAUGGGCCGAAAGAGAGGGACUAGAUGUAUGAUGUCUCCCAUAUGGUAGAUUUGUGUCCAUAUUCAUCUUUCUAUCAAUCAUAGAUUGAAUUUGAGUAUAUAUGUUCCACUCUACGAAUAAAUAAAUAAAUGAAUUUGAGUAUGUGUAUCAAGGCAGUAAGGAUAUACUCCCUCCGUCCGAAAAUACUUGUCAUCAAAAUGGAUAAAAAGAGAUGUAUCUAGAACUAAAAUACAUCUAAAUACAUCCUCUUUUAUCCAUUUUGAUGACAAGUAUUUCCGGAUGGAGGGAGUAUUAGUUAAAAAAAAACUAGUCUUAGACAGACCAAUGUUGUGACUAUGUGUGCAACAUCUUUUCUCGUUACCACGAAUGUUAAGAAUAUUGUCAUAUAUUACUACAUUUAUGAAAACAAAAAUUGCAAUCUCGAAUUGCUAAUGCGAAUAUAAAGUUCACAGUUUGUAAUAGACGUGCAUAGUGUGAUUUUAUAUAUGCAACCAAGUUGGAUAAUAUUUUGAUUUGAUUAUUAAACAAAACACUCACAUCUGACAAAACAAAUCGUCAACUUGUAUUAUGCAUGGGACAUGUCGACGCUAGCUUCAAAUUCCAAAUUAAGUUACAAGAUAGCACCAACUCGGCUAACUUUUAUCAGAGUAUACAAUGCAUAAUAGUGUACUUUGAACCGGGAAAUAGUGUGAGGAAUUGUGUGGUGAUGCAUAAGAGGAUCAGACCCCCUAUAUUGUGUACCGCACCUGAAUACAAUAUAUGUAUCUUUACUUAUUUUUAUGUAUUAAUUGUAGACCUCAAUGCAAAUCUCUCUAUACUGCCAAGGUCCAAAAGUUGAAGUGAACUGAGUGAGGCUUAGAUGGUUAGGUUUCAUGUAGUGGAACUAGCCCACCAAAGUUCAAGUCCUAAAUUUGGCACUGCUGAUCAUAUUUUUUGGAUUUAUUUCAUGCUUUCUCGCGAUGUACAUUCUGUGGGAGGAGAUGUUCCUGUUGAUUAUGAUUUACGAGACGCCUAUAAUGACUUCACCAAUCUCAAGAUGCCAUGCCGCCUUAGUAUCUCGGAGGUGCUCAUAGUGAUAGUAUGUGUGCACGCGCGCGUUCAUAGGGAUGAGUGUAUAUACGUGUAUGUGGGCAUAUGCGAUUGUACUGUGUUCAUUUUUUUUUACAAAAGUUGGCAUCCUUAGAUAUCGUGUCAUAUAUCUACAAGAUACGAUCGCUAAUGAUGAAUUUAUCUUCUACACUUUUUAUUCAUAAGUAAUCCCUGAAUUAAUACAAGAGGAUUUGCAUGGUUAAUUCUUCCAGUAAUUAUCAAAUAAUGUAGAUUCGUUUUUAUAUCCAAUUCGAUGGGCACUAGAAGUAGUGAACGUGUCUAGAUUCAUCCUCCCAUUAAAUUUCAUAUAUUUUUAGUAGGCAUUGAUUAUUAUUACUACUAUUCAAGAAAUAUAUUAUCUUCUCUAUUCUCUUUACUACCAAUGAUAUCCUAAAUAUCCAGAUAUUCUGUUUUAAUGGAAUAUUUUAGGAUAAGCACAAGCUUGAUGCCAUUGUAUCUAUAUAAAUCGAGUAUUUUCUAGGAUAAACCAUAGACAUACCAGCGAAAGGAGUAUUACAUAGUGUUCUCUACCACUCUCUGUGAACUUAGGCAAUGGCAAAUACUAGCAUCCUCCAAGUCUUCAUUGUUUUUAUCAUUGCGCAAGUCUGCUUACUCAUGAUGAUGGCAACACCGAUAGCGCAGGCAGCCGGCAGGCUUAUGGGAUACAAUCCAGUUUGCUGCCCUAGGGACAUCUACUGUUGUGGGUUUGGCGGUGUGAUGGCCAAUGGAACUGCAUCCUCCACCAAGCCUUGAUAGGUGGUUUCAUUCUCCUCCGAGCUAUAAGUUGUGUUGUUUUUCAUAUAUGUAAUUGUGUUACUAUUUUCAAGAAAUAUUAUGUACAAGCUAUUGUGUUACUAUUUUCAAGAAAUAUUAUGUACAAGCUAUUUUUCUAAUAAAAGUGGGAGGAGAUUUUUAUAUAUUACCUGUCUCAAUGCACAUCUCUCUGUCUUGACAAGAUCCAAAAGUUGGCAUCCCUUAGAUAUUGUGUCCUAUAUCUACAAGAUAUAGUGACUAAUGGUGAAUUAUCUUGUACAUUUAUUAUUUUCUAUCCAACAUACCCUAAAUACAAGAGGAUUUUGCUUGGUUAAUUCCCCCCAUUAAUUAUCAUAUCUUGUGGAUUUGUUUUUAUAUCGAAUUCGGUGGUCACGAGAUGCAGCGAAUGUGUCUAGGUUCAUCCUCCCAAUAAAUUUCAUAUAUUUUUAGGAGGCAUUAUUAUUAUUAUAAAGAAAUAUAUUAUAUUUCCUAUUCUCUUUACUAUUAAGUGAUAUCCUCAAUAUUCAGAUAUUCUGUUUCAGUGGAAUUUAUUAGGAGAAGCAUAAGCUUCAUGCCAUUGUAUCUAUAUAUAUCGAGCAUUUUCUUGGACCAAACACGGAGAUACCAGUGAAAGGAGAAUUGCAUAGUGUUCUGUACCGCUCUUUGUGAGCUUAGACAAUGGCAAAUAACAACAUCCUCCAAGUCUUCAUUGUUUUUCUCAUCGCACAAGUCUGCUUAGUCAUGAUGAUGGCCAUGCCGAUAGUGCAGGCAGCCGGCAGGCUUAUGGGACAUGAUCCACCCUGUUGCCCUAGGGACCCCUGGUGUUGUGGGUUCGGCCGCGUGAUGGCCAAUGGAACUGAAUCCUCCACCAAGCCUUGAUAUGUGGUUUAAUUCUCCUCCAAGCUAUAAGCUAUGUCCUACAAAAUGUGCUUCAACGGUGGUUGUGUUUUCUUAUAUGUAAUUUGUGUUGCUAGUUUCAAGAAAUGAUAUGUAUAAGCUAUGUUGCUAAUAAAAGUGGGAGGAGAUUGCUAUCUAUCUUGCUUACAAUGUGCCACAAAGAGAUUCAAAAGUGUUUGCCGUAGUAUUUUUAGAGGAUCAUAUCAUCCUCUAUUUUAAUGGUUAAGGACAUGCUACGGUCAUAAAGGAACCAUCGGUAGUUGAUUUCAAUUUAUUACUAAACAUAAAAGUUUAGCCAUCACAUAGAGUAGCAAUUUGUUGCAGACAUGGACCAAAUACCAUAUUAAUUCAUUUAUGCCAUUGCAUCUCAGCAUAACUGAUGCAGAACCACGGAGCUAGUGUUAUUCGCACAAGGUUUCUUUUGGCAGUCCGACGCUGAUGUAUUUGCUGGACCGUGUCAAAAAAUCGUUCAAGAGUCGACAUAUAGAUUAUGCCCCCUGCAUCAUACCUUCGUUUGAUGCCCCUGAUUAAAUCAUACACUAAUUAUACACGCAAAUGUGUACGAUUAAGAUCAGAGACUCACGGGAAGAUAUCACAACACAACACUAGACACAAAUUUAAAAUAAUACAAGUUUUAUAUUACAAGCCAGGGGCCUCGAGGGCUCGAAUACAAGCUCGAUACACGAGCAACUUAACCCCAUGCAUGUCCCUCGGCCCCCGCCAAAGAAAUCUUACUCAACCGAGCUUGUAAAACUACAAAGAGAGUCGAGCAACUUGCUAAUCUAUGGGAACACGCCGUCUGGCCGAUUGUUUCAUGGCAAUGAGAGGGGGGUGGAACUUCACUCAUGUGUCACCAUUCAAAGGAUCUCAUCAGCGCCAGUUCCAUCAGGCCGUCCUCCUGACACGAGUGAGACACCUUGGGGUGAUGAGAACGAGUAGAGCAUGCAAAUCAGACGUUGGAGAAAAUGCUCAGGUCAGGCACGUUCGUCGUGUGCCAAACCUUGGACAGGGGCGUGUCCUGGUGGUGUGCUUGUUGAAGUUCCUGGUCGAGCUCUGGUUUACUUUCUCGUUCAUGGUCUUCGGUGUUGUUUGAGCUUAGGUGCGGUGUGGUACGUAGGAGGUUCCGGGUGUGCCUCGAUUCACUAUUUUGGGCAGUAUGACGUACCGUAAAAAUCUCCUGAGAUUAGGCUUCCAUUGCCAGAGGAUCAGCUCAGCAGCAUGCUCAUACCAUCUCGCCUGUGCUAGAAUCAAUCUCCCUGCAUGGUCAUGGACAGGGAGCCCUCCUUGUCCAGCCUGCUCCGUAAGCUCCUAUCCACCGUUGAUUUUGAGCACACCCACAUCUAAUAGGCCAGGAACUCGAAUGUAGGGCUGGAACUUUAGUCGUUGUUCAGUCUUUAGCUACUCCCAAAACAACUUUGCCCAGGUGCACUCGAAGAAGGCAUAUAUGUGCCAUAGCUUCCUCUACUCCUCAUGGUUCGUAGAACGCAGGCCGCUCGAUGUGUCUAUCUCGUAGGAUCGCCCGGCAUGGAACAAAUUUGUGGAUCACCCUCAACGAGAAGUUACAUACUUUCGGUGGCACCGCUAGCUUGCAGAGCCUUCUCUCCAGCACUUGUUCACCCUCUCCCCUGAAGCUCGAGGCCCUACCAUUAUCCACACUUCUUGGCACCAAUGCUCUGUAAGCAGAUCGUACGGUGCAUUUUCCAAAAUUUCUUGAGAUUCGAAGCCCAACUGUCCUCGGCAAAAUUCUCGACUGGCAUCUGAUCUGCAUAUAGCCUCCACGUCAGGUGCAACAAAAUUCGCCUCAAUCACCUCCAUGUUCAAGUGCUCCGAGUCAUGAUCAAUAAGUUCGUGCACAGCUUAAAAUCCUCCCAAACUCUGAUUGAAGCUCCAUCGCCCACGUAUGCGACGAGCUCGUUUCUUGGUGGUUUGUCUGUAGUAUGUGGAGGUGGCAAGCCAUGUCCUGGAGACCGUAGACCACAUCCGGACGACGACGUCUUGAUUGACGUCUUGCGACGCAAAGCUGUGCCAGUCUGGUCGCGACCAAAUCAUGGACACCGAGGCCUGUGGCAAUCCCCGCGACACGGAGACCCACAUAGGCGGCAGCCACAUCCUCAAGGUGGAGAGAGACCUAUCACCUAUGAUGAUUCGGAGGAAACCUCUCACCAUGCUAUGCCACCCACGACAACCACAUCCCUAAUUCGAUGUGUUAAUAGUUCAUGUUGGAUGGCCUCUCUGAAUCGGGCUUGUCGAUGGCAAUUCUUCUUCUUUGGUGUGCAGGUGCCCAGAGUGUAGCUUUUGAAUGUGAAUCUAAUGGCAUUGGUGAAUAAACACUGUAAGCUGGUGGUGAAUAAAAAUUUCAGAAGGACAUGAGUUUAGUUUUUGCGUUGUUGUCUAAUAUAUUUGGUCAGACUGUUAUGAUUUCUAAUUUGAGGUGUUGCUUGGCUGAUAGAUGCUGUAAUUUUGUUUCAGAAGCAAAAUAUAACUGAUCGGGUAAAGGGGGAAGACCAUCACAAAUCAGCAUAAUUUCAGAGAAAAAAAAAGAAUCCACUUUCCUUGUUUGUUUUAUCACAUCUGGCACUCCCUCUGUUCACAAAUAUGUUCUGUGUAUUUCAAUAUGAACUACAAUAAUACAAUGAACUUCACUGCACAUAAAGGAUAGCACCAUAUAAUGAGAACAGAUUCGGAUUACAAUACCCAGAUAACAUGUCACUUCUUUAGUGAUCUAAACGAUCAGCGGGAGUAGUAGUUUUACACUCUACAUUGGGGUGAAUUUCUUUAAGAGAACACCUUUUAUUGGCCAAAGGUCUAGAAACUGAAUUUUCUUUAAGAGAAAUGCACCCUGUUGAAACAAGUCAGGCUACAAGAAGUGCAGUUCCUUCACAUUCAGCCAAUAAAAAGUGUACCGAUAAGAAUUUUACUCUGAUAACACACACUAUAUAGGCUUCAAACAUUGUGCUAGAUAAGAUAACUAGCUACUAACUCCAAGGAUAUCAGCAAACAUCUCUUUCCAUCCAUCCCAAUCCAGAUACAUCCAAGUGGCAAGCAUUGUAGGCAGUCCAUAUACCAGGCAAUUAUUGAAUCUUUCUCUUGCACGACAGAAGCGCCUAAAGAGGAGAUUACCAAAAAUAUUAUACAUCAAUUUAGAUAAAUUAGGGAGAGCAGAUAAAUCUGCAUAUGUAAUUUUGUGGAUCAUACCAGAGGGCAUCACUGGGAUUGGGCUCAAUGUGUCCGAAGAGAUGGUGGAUAAGCUCCCUGUUCUCUCGGAAGUACUUGUUACGCGAGGGGAAUCUGCUAUCAAGCUCAGCGAGCUGGUAGAAGAGGUCGCGCUUCUUGGUCUCGACUUCAAUUAUCUGACGACGGCCCCAUGCUCUCUUGGCGUCGAGGUCUAGCGCAGGUUUUGCAUUUGGUUGCUGUCAACGGAAGAUGAAGGUUAUAGACAUCGAUUGAGCUAUACUACUCCCUCCGACUUCAGAAAGAAGGCAUGCCAUUUUGUCUGAAGCAAACAGUGCACAGUUUGACCAGAUUUGCAGGAAAAUUUGUCAACAACUACAAUACUAAAUAAAGAUAAUAUGAAAAAAAAAUCAUUGUGUCUGCCAAUUUUUUUGGUUAAUCUGUUAUGUUUGGGGCCAAUCACUGGGAGAUUUGACCAAUUAGCAAGGCAGUAAGCAAGGGUUGUUACAUCCAGCAUGGAGUGGGUAAUUUGCAGAGUCACUAGAACAAUAAAUCAACCACCAGUCUAGUUAAUUAAUUAGAACUCGACGGGGGAGAUUUGACCAAUUAGCAAGGCAGUAAGCAAGGGUUGUUAGAUCCAGGAUGGAGUGGGUAAUUUGCACAGUUACUAGAACAACAAGUCAACCACUAAUCUAGUUAAUUAGAACUCGACGGGGAGAAAAUAUUGGGUUGUAUCGACCAUACAUGCAGGGUGCUGUUGCCAACAUCAGCGCCGCCGGCGGAGGCAGACAAAGGCCGGAAACGAAAAGGGAUAGGCUGACGGCCACCGUAGAUGAGCCUUGGCAUCAGCCGGCGACACUCAACCUCGACCAGCGGCGAGACGGCGGGCUUGUAAACCGCCUUGCCGCCGCUGAGCCUUCUGGCCGCGUGUCGAAUCGCCGCCGCCAUCGCCUUGUCUGCUGCCUGCGUUUCUUGCCGAUCUAGGGUUCGGUUCCUUUUUUUUUGUUUUGAGAUAAGUUGGAUUCCUCCUCUGCUUUUUUUUUUUGAGACAAGGGUUCCUCCUCUGCUUUUUUGAGGGUUCCGGACCGAACUGCCAGUACUCCCAACCCCACAGCCCAUUCUGUUGGUUGGUAAGUACGGCCCUGCUGGAGAUUUUUUUUUUGCUUCAACCAAAAAACGAGGUUUCAUUUAGCAACCCACGGCGAAUCUAUUCCCCCGCACAAGACAUCUACAUCUGGACUUAGCAAAUCCGGCCCUCUAAAUAUUCACGGAAGUGCCAGUUUGGACUUGUCUGUUUUAAGCCCCUAUUUGUCUGUCCAUGUAGCUAUACCUAUACACCUCUUUUUUUUUCUUAUAUAUGUCCGGUCACUCAUGUGAUUGAUGGAGAUGAAGAGGAGAGAAAAAAAAGUAAGAACAAAGAAAGAGAAAAGGUAGUCUAGGAUGGGUUAUGUCCUACGUAGCGGACUGACAUAGCGCUUAGUGGGCCCUCAUAUUCUCCUCGGAUUUGGUAUCAAUAUGGGGUUUCCGGAUAGUCCAGACGUAUACAGAUGAUGUGAGAAGCCUAAUUAAGUAAAAAAAAAAUCCAUCUCUCUCAUAUCUGGCCACUACCGAGCGCGUCUGCGGAUGUUUGAGGAGGCCGGCUGUAGAUGCUCGUGGCCACUAGUUUUAGGAAGGUUCUAAACCUUCCUUGAAUUUGGUUUUUCUUUUAUUUAUUCCAUUCAUCUUCUUUUUCCAUUUUUUAUUUUGUGAAUUUUUUGUAAUUCAGAUUUUUUUAAAAUGUGCCAACAAUUCUCAAAUUUGUGAAUAUUAAUUUCAUUUUGGAAUAUUUUUUGAAAUCAGAGAAGUUUCCCAAAUUCAUGAAUAUUUUUUGAAACUUGGGAACAUAUUCAGAUUUUUUGAAAUAUUUUCAAAAUCUGUGACCAUUUUUCAAUUCAUAUUUUUUGUGAAUCUGUAACUUUUUUAAAAUACGGGAACAUUUUUCAACUUGGGAACAAUUUUUGAAAUGUGGGCCCUCCUAUUCUCCUCGGAUUUGAUAUCAAUAUGGGGUUUCCGGACAGCCCAGACGUAUAUAGAUGAUAUGAGGAGUCUAAUUAAGUAAAAAAAUUCUAUCUCUCUCAUAUCUGGCCACUACCGAGCGCAUCUACGGAUGUUUGAGGAGGCCGGCUGUAGAUGCUCGUGGCCACUGGUUUUAGGAAGGUUCUGAACCUUCCUUGAAUUUGGUUUUUCUUUUAUUUAUUCCAUUCAUCUUCUUUUUCCAUUUUUUAUUUUGUGAAUUUUUUGUAAUUCAGACUUUUUUUAAAAUGUGCCAACAAUUCUCAAAUUUGUGAAUAUUAAUUUCAUUUUGGAAUAUUUUUUGAAAUCAGAGAAGUUUUCCAAAUUCAUGAAUAUUUUUUGAAACUUGGGAACAUAUUCAGAUUUUUUGAAAUAUUUUCAAAAUCUGUGACCAUUUUUCAAUUCAUAUUUUUUGUGAAUCUGUAACUUUUUUAAAACACGGGAACAUUUUUCAACUUGGGAACAAUUUUUGAAAUGUGGGCCCUCCUAUUCUCCUCGGAUUUGAUAUCAAUAUGGGGUUUCCGGACAGCCCAGACGUAUAUAGAUGAUAUGAGGAGUCUAAUUAAGUAAAAAAAUUCUAUCUCUCUCAUAUCUGGCCACUACCGAGCGCGUCUGCGGAUGUUUGAGGAGGCCAGCUGUAGAUGCUCGUGGCCACCGGUUUUAGGAAGGUUCUGUACCUUCCUUGAAUUUGUUUUUUCGUUUAUUUAUUCCAGUCAUCUUCUUUUUCCAUUUUUUAUUUUGUGAUUUUUUUGUAAUUCAGACUUUUUUUAAAUGUGCCAACAAUUCUCAAAUUUGUGAAUAUUAAUUUCAUUUUGGAAUAUUUUUUAAAAUCAGAGAAUGUUUUCAAAUUCAUGAUAUUUUUUGAAAAUUGGGAACAUAUUCAGAUUUUUCAACAUUUUCAAAAUCUGUGAACAUUUUUCAAUUCAUAUUUUUUGUGAAUAUGUAACAUUUUUUAAAAUACGGGAACAAUUUUCAAAAUCAUGAGUUUUUUAGACCAGGAACAAUCUUCAAAUUCCUAUUUUUGGAAAAUCCAAUUACAUUUUUCAAAUUCAUGAUUUUCUUAAUUCAAGACAUCUUCUGAAAUCCCAAUGAUUAGACCAAAGCCAACUCUAGUAGUAACUAAUGUAAAAAAUAAAAAAAUGCCAAUUUAAAUAUGGAUGCAACUAAACUCAAAGAUAUAUAAAACUAACACAUACGUCAAUUCACUUCCGAGUUACCUCCGAGGUAGCACUUUCUUUAUCGCCAUGUAGCUAGGCUUCGAUGCUCCAUUAAUUCGUCCACCCAUAUAUGAUAUAUCCCAAGAGAUAUCGACCCAAAGUGUAGUUCUUACUGCUGGUCGAGGUUCAGAGCACCUCAUAGCAAAGUUUAGUCAGAGACGUACUCGCUUCCGGUGCAUCCACAUCAUAUAAGUAAAUAGGUUCUUGCUCUCAAGCGAGAAAUGAUGCAUCAAGAACUUCAGGAGAAGGUCGCGUCCUUGAGUGUGCGUAACUUGCCAGUGCUGGUGGGUGGCGAUUUCAACUUAAUCCGAUCGGGAGCGGGUAAGAACAAUGGAAUCAUUAUCUGAACAAGGGUGUCCUUGUUUAAUAAUGCGAUAGCAUCUAUGGCCCUUAGGGAAGUGGCUCGCGUGGGCGCAUGCUACACCUGGACCAACAACAACAAGCAGCUAACGCCGGUGCGGUCUGUGCUAGAUCGGGUUUUCAUGUUCGCGGAGUGGGAAAUGUUAUUCCCCAUGUGCUCCCUCCACGCUGAAACAAGGAUUGGUUCGGAUCACAUCCCCUUAAUCCUGUCCUCAGGGGAGGAUAGGUUAAAGAGUAGUCCUCGUUUUUACUUUGAAACUACGUGGUUCGAGGUCCCGGAUUUUGAGCAAAUCUUCCUCUCCAAAUGGGAGACAUGCGUGGCCCGGAUCAGGCAAACGCGCGGGCCAAUGGAGUUUUGGAUUGCCGCAGGGGCGGGAAUGCGUGCGGCUCCCAAAGGUUGGGGGGCCAACCAGGGCCGCGAGGAUAAGCUGCUCCGAAUGCGUCUGACCGCAGACCUCGCCCGUAUGGACGUGGUUGCGGAUGCGCAGGGUUUCUCGGAACAAGACUGGGCCCAGCGCUAUGCGGUUGAAGCCCAAGUUGAGUCCCUCCUUAGGGCAGAGGAGGAGUACUGGCGUAGAUGUGGUGGCAUCAAGUGGGCGCUCAAGGGAGAAGCGAACACUAAGUAUUUCCAUGUGCACGCUAAUGGUAGACGCCGUAAGUGCGCCAUCCUGCGUCUGCAAUCCGAGCAGGGGCUCCUUUUGCGCCAACAGGAUAUCGUCCAUCACAUUUAUGAUUUCUACAUCCAACUGAUGGGCUCCAGGGAGGAGUCCCGUGCUUGGCUGCGGGCGGAUGUUUGGCAUCCUGCGUUGCGGGUCACGGACGAGGAGAAUGAGGGCUUGGGGCCGGCCUUCCUCCCCCACGAGAUUGAUGUGGCGGCUCUUGGGAUAAAAUCGGACACCGCACCGGGUCCGAAUGGGUGGCCGGUGGCGAUGUUUAAACGAUUUUGGCAAGUGCUUAAAGGGCCAAUUUUGACGUUCUUAAUGGGUUCAUGCGUGGUAGUGUAGAUAUCUCUCGCUUGAACUUUGGGGUUCUAUCUCUGAUCCCCAAAGUACAGGGAGCGGACUGUAUUAGACUUUUUCGACCGACAACACUCAUUAACGUCCCGUUUAAAAUCUGCUCUAAGGCUUGUUCCACGCGCUUGUCUCUAAUAGCUCACCGUAUUAUUAGUAGGAACCAAUCAGCUUUUAUUCGUGGUCGCAACAUUUUGGAGGGGCCGUUGGCCCUUCAAGAGAUCAUUCACUCGCUCAAACGCACUCGACAGCCUGCCAUUCUUUUGAAAUUGGAUUUUGAGAAGGCGUACGACCGAGUGAACUGGGAGUUUCUUCGACAAGUCCUCCUGGACAGAGCAUUUUUGUCGGUUUGGGUUCACCACAUGAUGCAAUUGGUCUCGGGCUAAACGGAGAUUGCGGUGAAUGGAGAAGUAGGGAACUUCUUCUGCAACAAGCGUGGGCUGCGUCAAGGGGACCCGGCCUCGCCGUUGCUCUUUAACUUUGUGGCAGACGCCCUGGGCGCCAUGCUAGACAAAGCUCGUAUUGCGGGCCACAUCAGGGGAGUGGUCGGCAAUUUGAUCCCAGCUAGGCAUGUCACACCUUCAGUACGCUGAUGACACUCUUCUCCUUUUCGAGCCGGACCUACACAGUAUCGCAACGGUCAAGGCCAUUCUUCUUUGCUUUGAGCUUAUGGCUGGGCUAAAAAUAAACUUUCACAAAUGUGAAGUGGUGUCCAUAGGGAUGGAUGCGGCUGAAAGCCUGCGGGUAGCCAAUUUGCUUAAUUGCAAACUGGGAAAACUACCUUUCACCUACCUCGGCCUCCCGAUCGCAGAGAAAAAAUGCUCGAUUGCCGAUUGGGAACCUCUUAGCACUAAGGUGGCACACAGGGUUUGCCCGUGGAGAGGUCAUUUUAUGUCUUCGGGGGCUAGACUUAUCUUAACUAAUUCCAGCCUCUCGUCCCUGCCUAUGUUUGCCAUGGGUCUGUUCUUGCUGGCUGACGGGGUCCACACCAAAAUGGACACUCCGCGGGCCUAUUUCUUUUGGGAAGGAGCGGGACCGAAGCGUAAAUAUCAUAUGGUUAAAUGGCAGGCCGUUUGUAGACCUAAAGCCCGGGGGGCCUCAGGAUCAUCAACUCUAAGUUGAUGAAUAUUGCACUCAUGUGCAAGUGGAUCUGGAAGCUGUCUCAGGGAGAGACCGGCCUCUGGAUGGACCUCCUACGUGCCAAAUACUUCCGUGAGGGGAAUUUCUUUGAGGCAGCAUCCCAUGGAUCUCCUUUCUGGAACUCCAUCCAAUCCCUAAAACCGUUCUUCGCCAGGGGCGCGAGGUUUUAGGUUAAUAAUGGACGCUCCACGCGUUUCUGGCACGACACUUGGAUAGGCCAACAACCUCUUUGGUCGGAGUUCCGCCAACUAUACUCCAUCACUGUCCAGCCCAACCAAUUGGUUGCUUCGGCUCUAAGCUCCUGCCCGCCCCCUAUCCACUUUAGAAGGGAGCUCUCGGGGCCUGAGAGGGAGGAUUGGGAUCGCCUUCGGGCUAAGAUAGCGGACGUGCGCUUAUCAAACAACACGGAUACGGUGUCCUGGAGGCUUUCGGGCUCUGGCAAAUUUACUGUCAAUUCCCUAUAUAGAGAGCUGUCCCGAGGCCACGUCCCUAUGGCUGCCUCGGGGCUUUGGAAGGCUCGAAUUCCUCUCAAUAUCAAGGUUUUCCUCUGGCAACUUUGUCAAGACCGCCUCCCUACUUCAAUAAAUAUAGCCAAACGCAAUGGCCCGGCCUCCGGGCCUUGUGCUUUGUGUGGUGUCCUGGAAGAUGCUGACCACGUGUUCUUCUGGUGCUCUUUGGCGCGCUUUGCCUGGAGCGCGGUCCGCAAGGCCGUGGGUGUGGAUUGGGAUCCACGCUCCCGCCCCAAGCUCGUGUCGUCUUUGUCCUUGGUCCAGGGUUCUUCGCGCCGUGUUAUGUGGACAAGUGCGGCGGCCAUGUUGUGGGCUUUGUGGCAUAUUCGUAACAAGUUUACAUUGAGGGUGUGUUCCCCUCUCACCCCGCUGACGUAAUCUACAAAUGCAUCUUGUUCUUGCAGCAAUGGGCCCCGCUGGGAAGACAACAAGACUCUGAUCUGCAUCUCCUUGCUCUUGCAUGCCUUCGCUCUGUCUACUCCGCGCCGCGAGCCCCGUCGCCUCCUUCCGCUGCCUCAUAGGGAUGGGUAGCCCCUUUUGGAAGUGUUUCCUCCGAGCCUGUGUGCUCCUAUGUUGGCUGGACACGCCAUGUAAUGCACUUUAUUCCUUCGCCGUUUCCUCUUGUGGUGUGUCUGAGACCCCGGAAGACUAGUUUGUUUGUGUUUGUUGGUCGUUUGGUUGUGCACGCCGCCUAUGUUGAGGGCUUUAUUAAUUUAAAACCGGACGUCCCUGACGUCUAUGUUUUAAAAAAACGAUGCACCAAGCAUCGUGGGCAUGUCUCCUCAUAUAUCUGCGACAAAAGGGUUAGAGAAAUGUGGCACAAGCCAAGAAAAAGAAAACCAAGCGAGUCAAGCGCAAAGCUGGAGAAAGUAUUGAUCAGCCGUCAGCGAGGAAGAUCUCUGCAUCAGAGAAUCUAUGUCGUGAUAUGAUUGUAGUUGGCACGAAGGAUGACCCUCUGGACUGGAGAAGUGUGCCCCUUAAACAAAUGUAGAGCAGAAGGCUCCUGAAGAAGUUGCUCAACCGGAGCAGUGUGCUCCAAAUGAGGAAGCUGUCGCUAGUGAUUCCCAGAAGAAAAAGCUCCUAAUAAGAAAGAUGCCUCGGCAAAACCUCGUUCUCCAUAAGAAAUCCCUGUGGAUGAAGCACUUGAGAAUGCAGGAGCACUUGAUUCUCCCUCUAGACAUGCUUUCAUUCCCUCUGUCAGUCCCUUUGUGGAUGUUGAAGAAGAAGAAGUGGAGCCUCAUACUCCGAAAGAGAAACAAGAUGAUGUUGUUCCAUCUCAGCCAAGUGCAUAGCCCAGAUAGUUGCAUAAAAGGCCCUAGUGCUUUCCCCCGAAGAUGAUGCUCAAACGAUUGCUACCGAAAAAUCCUCUAAGUCCGCAGUGGCUGCCUCGUUUGUAGUCAAUUCUCGAGGAGGAAGAAGCAGAAAUUGCUGCUAGCACUGAAGAGGAAGUUCUCCCACGCUAUCCCAAGCAGAAACUGCCGAAGUUUGAUUCUUGGAGAUCUCCUUGUACUUUAAUUCAACAUGCUGCAACACAAGGCAAAACUUACUUACUUCAGAGAAAGCCCAUAUGAUGGUUAUCGCACAUCUCAAUCUGCUUGGUUCUGGAGCAAUGACAUCUCUUGAUGGAUCCUGCUAUUGCUGGAGAUAUUGCCAAGCCAAUGCGAAAGUGAAUGACCUGGCGUAUAUCAACACAACUUUCUAUCCGAUAAUGAGCAAAACUCUCUAUCCCAAGACGGGAACUCACUCUGAGGACUUAAUCAAAGGGAUAGUUGAAGCUCUCUUUUCUGGUCCUUUAUUGAGUUUGACAACAUAUGUGCGUCUCUCCGCUGCUUGAAAGCACAUAGUGUUGGCGGCCCGGCGUUCAGGAAAUCCCUCUCAUAGCAUGGGAUGAUCUGGCGGCAAAAAAAUAUAAAAAGGGAUGAAACAACACAUGGAUGAGGACUAAAAAAACAUGGAACUAAAUGGGGAAAAUGAGAAUUCCCAUAGAUUGGAUGUUUUGAAUCCCUACACUAGAAAAUCACCAAAUGAUGUGCUGGUUGCAUCCUUGUUUGCGCAUGAGGUUUUGCAAACUGUGCGUGCCAUCUAUGCACUUUUUUUUAAAGUUAUAUAGUUCUUUUUUUUUAGAAAAGGAGGAAGACCACGCCUCUGCAUCUGGACGAUGCAUACAGCCAUUUUAUUAAUUAUUAACACACGUUACAAAGUCAUACAACAGUAAGACUAAAGCCACAGUCUAAUCAACAUUUGUCGCUACUCCUAUCCAGUUGAUGAAGGGGCGCUCAUAGUCUGGGCCUAAUAACAAACAGACCUUGCAGACAAAGCUAACAUCUAAGACCAGAGGUCCCAACCAGGACGCCUGCCGGGUUUGGGCACCCACCAGUCCGGCGUGCUCCUCAACCAGGACGCAUGUCGGGUAUGAGGCCGCUGCAACCACCCGCCACCAAUCCAUCUCCAGAGCUAUACUGCUGCAUCUACCUUGCCCGGUUUAGCUGCCACCACGAGCCAGACAACGUCACCCUCCUGCUCGAGUCCAUCUCCGCGCAUCGUGCGUCGAGUCUCCAUGCGCCAAGCCGCGGAGAUCCGCCGUCAUCAAUUGGCAAGAUAAAUCAUCGCUCCUCCUCUUGUCCCCUCCAACCAGCACUUGCUCCAAAACGAUGCCCCCAAGAGGGAGAACGACAUCGAAGGCGCCGUCAUCGUCCGAUCCGGUAGACCCAGAUCUAGGGUUUUCCCUGGAACUACCCGAUCAGGUGGACGUGACCUGCAACGACGAUGCCUCAAGAAGGCAACGACGUCCGAGACGCCGCCAUCGUCCGCAAAGACCGCAUUUAGGUGCGAUUUUCAUCGGAAGCCACGUCGUCCCAAUCUCGUGGCUGGCUGGAACCUAGCGGAACAUCGCCAUGAAGACAUAUGGUGCCAUCGGAAAGCCGGUUGAGGACCUCCGACUGCCCCACCCCGGCCCCAUCACGCGCCGCCGGCCGGCCAUAGCCGAACCACGACGGCUGGCCGGGACGCUAGAUCCAUGGCCACUGCCGCUGCCCCUCGCAUAGCGGAGAAUCCCAGCGGAGGACCUCGCCAGCCCUGGGUUCGCCGGCUGUCGCCGCACAGCCAGGACGCCGCCGUGGCUGCCGCGCAAAGACCCUGCACGAGGCGCCCCGGCCGCCUGAUAGGAGAUCCGUCGCUUCCCUCAUGCCCUAGCCCUUUAGGCGUCGGGCGCCGCCACCACCUCGGCCAGUGCCGGCGGCAGCGGCGGCAGAGAUCUACCUCUCGGGAAGGCUGCCGGCGCGAGGACUUAGGUCCCCCUGGCGUCGCCCUGGGUGGCGGCGCGAGGGGGUCGCGAGGAUAUGCCAAUUACAUUUAAAUGACUAAUAAUAACAGUUAAAACACACAUACACACACACAAAUUGAGAAUGUUUAUGAAAAUAAAGGAGUGAAGUUAAAGUCUAAGUGGUAAACGAUAAAAAGCAAAAAUAUCCAAGGCCAAAAAUGAUCAUUUGUUGUAAUAUCAGGUCUAAUACAGUGGUUCAAUUCAUAUUUAAUCGGAAAAUGUAUGUAUCAUAAAAAAUGCAAAGAGAAGGGCAGCACCGAAGGGUUUGAAGAAAUCGAAUGAAGAUAACCUGAUAUUGUUUCGUCUAGAAUGAAAAAUGCUGCAAUAUACAAGAAUCUGGAGCUCUCUUCACCAAGUUUGCACCAAUUAUUUUUUGCUCUCCAAUUCCACAUCAUAGAUUGCCAUUUGAUUAAGGUCUCGAGCUUCUGUAAAAGAGUGUUGUCAACAGGCAUUUUCUUUCCUCAAUGGCAUCCAGGUAAAAAAAGUACUACCUCCAUCCAAAAAUAAGUGCCCCAAACUUAAUACAAAUUUGUGCUAAACUUAGUAUAAAGUUGAGACACUUAUUUUGGGACGAAGGGAGUAAGAUACUGAAAACUAGCUGGAGAGAAAAAAGAAGUCAAAACAAGAGUGAGAUACAGAAGGAGAGAAUUAAAAAACCUAAGGAAAAGAACAUAGUUUAGCUAUCUAGCAGUCACCAGACCUACAUUUUUUUUGCGCAUAAGUCAGCAGACCUACAUUUACAUUUUUUAAACUAAUUACUGAAAAAGGUGAUUGCCAAACAGAGAAACAAAGAACUGAACAUUAAACUAACAAACAGAGAAAAUUGAUCUUGUCUCGAUGGUCAAUGAAUAAUGAAGAAGAACGGUUGAAAAACUGAGGAUGAUCAAAAAAUGGCUUAAAGGGGAGACUGAAGACUAUAGAUAAAUAACUAUGGAUGCUACCUGAGAAAUGAACUAAGGAAGAAGGACUGAUGAAUGACAUUGCAUUAGUAGAAAACAGGGCUUUGGUUGAGGCCUGGGUAAGGGCAUUAAUCCCGGUUCGCUCACGAACCAUUGGUCCCGGUUCGUUCGACCCCUUUGGUCCCGGUUCCAGACACGAACCGGGACCAAUGGGCCUCGCUCCUGGACCAACACCUUUAGUCCCGGUUGGUGGCUGGAACCGAGACCAAAGGUCAGUCUUUUGUCCCGGUUCUAGCCACAAACCGGGACUAAAGAGAAGCCCAUAUAUACCCCCGCAAACAAAGCCACUGCUCUGUUUUUCUGACCGGCCGUGGGAGAGGCGUGUGGUGCUCUAUCUCACCUCCUAUGCACAUGAGGUGUUCGAUGAAAUGCCCGAGCCACACUUAAGCUUUCUCCUCUCGAAGCUCCUUGUCCAAACUCCAUUUUCCUCAAGAUUUGUCUAGGUUUGGCGGUCCGUCCUGUCCCGUCCCCGUCCACAUCACCGUCGAGCGUCCGCGCCGAUCUCGUCAUCGGCACCACCCUGGUGAGCUUCUUGUUCUUAUCUUCUUUCUAAAAGAAAAUAAAUUCUUAUUUGUAUGAUUUAGACAGAUACUUUUAUAAUUCUCUUACUUUUAUUAUUUUUUGUUAUUAUAUAGUGCGAUGGUUUUGGUAUCCGCCCCCGUCGGCCCUCGUCCUGUCUAUGAUUCAUAUGUGGUUUAUAUUAUCUUUUAUAACUAUUUGUUUCAUUUAGUGUUUAUGACAAUUAUGCCGAGUAACGAGACAUAGAUGUUUUUAUCUAGGAGGUAUGUGAACCGGAAAUUCCAACCGACCCUCUUGUCAAGAGGAUAAAUUUAGUUGAAAACGAAAAAAAUUACUUGAAGAAAAAAAUUGAAAAGAAUUGGGGAGGAGAAGAUGAAAUUGGAGUUGCAUGUUGCGGAUGUCGUCGAUGAUUGAUACGUCUCCAAUGUAUCUAUAAUUUAUGAAGCAUUCAUGCUAUUUUAUUAUCUGUUUUGAAUGUUUACGGGCUUUAUUAUACACUUUUAUAUUACUUUUGGGACUAACCUAUUAACCGGAGGCCCAGCCCAUAUAGCUGUUUUAUUGCCUAUUUCAGUGUUUCGAAGAAAAAGAAUAUCAAACGGAAUGAAACCUUCGGGAGCGUUAUUUUUGGAACAGAAGCGAUCCAGGAGACUUGGAGUUGAAGUAAAGGAAGCUUCGAGGUGGCCACGAGGGUGGGGGGUGCGCCCCCCUACUGGGCGCGCCCCCUAUCUCGUGGCCCCCUCGAGGCUCCGCCGACCGCUUAUUUUGCCUAUAUAUUCCCAUAUACCCUAAAAACAUCGAAGGACAAGAUAGAUCGGGAGUUCCGCCGCCGCAAGCCUCUGUAGCCACCAAAAACCUCUCGGGAGCCCGUUCCGGCACCCUGCCGGAGGGGGGAUCCCUCACCGGUGGCCAUCUUCAUCAUCCCGGCGCUCUCCAUGAUGAGGGAGUAGUUCACCCUCAGGGCUGAGGGUAUGUACCAGUAGCUUUGUGUUUGAUCUCUCUCUCUCUCUCUCUCUCUCGUGUUCUUGAGGUGAUACGAUCUUGACGUAUCGCGAGCUUUGCUAUUAUAGUUGGAUCUUAUGAUGUUUCUCCCCCUCUACUCUCUUGUAAUGGAUUGAGUUUUCCCUUUGAAGUUAUCUUAUCGGAUUGAGUCUUUAAGGAUUUGAGAACACUUGAUGUAUGUCUUGCCGUGCUUAUCUGUGGUGACAAUGGAAUAUCACGUUAUCCACUUGAUGUAUAUUUUGGUGAUCAACUUGCGGGUUCCGCACACGUUUCCUAUUGACUCUCCGGUAGAAACUUUGGGGCACUCUUUGAAGUACUUUGUGUUGGUUGAAUAGAUGAAUCUGAGAUUGUGUGAUGCAUAUCAUAUAAUCAUGCCCACGGAUACUUGAGGUGACAUUGGAGUAUCUAGGUGACAUUAGGGUUUUGGUUGAUUUGUGUCUUAAGGUGUUAUUCUAGUAUGAACUCUAUGAUAGAUUGAACGGAAAGAAUAGCUUCACGUUAUUUUACUACGGACUCUUGAAUAGAUAGAAUAGAAAGGAUAACUUUGAGGUGGUUUCAUACCCAACAAUAAUCUCUUCAUUUGUUCUCCGCUAUUAGUAGCUUUGGAGUGACUCUUUGUUGCAUGUUGAGGGAUAGUUAUAUGAUCCAAUUAUGUUAUUAUUGUUGAGAGAACUUGCACUAGUGAAAGUAUGAACCCUAGGCCUUAUUUCCUAGAAUUGUAAUACCGUUUACGCUCACUUUUAUCAUUAGUUACCUUGCUGUUUUUAUAAUUUCAGAUUACAAAAACCUAUAUCUACCAUCCAUAUUGAACUUGUAUCACCAUCUCUUUGCCAAACUAGUGCACCUAUACAAUUUACCAUUGUAUUGGGUGUGUUGGGGACACAAGACACUCUUUGUUAUUUUGUUGCAGGGUUGCUUGAGAGAGAGCAUCUUCAUCCUACGCCUCCCACGGAAUGAUAAAACUUAGGUCAUCCACUUGAAGGAAAUUUGCUACUGUCCUACAAACCUCUGCACUUGGAGGCCCAACAACGUCUACAAGAAGAAGGUUGUGUAGUAGACAUCAAUGAUCACAAGAUCAAGAUGGAUGCGAUGUGCUUGAAGAUUAGAAAGAUUAGAAAAUAUGCCAUUCUUACUGAGGCUUGGUAUCAUUAUGCCGUUGGAUCAAUUGUUACCUUAGUUUCGAUUAUGAUCGCUUUUGUUGUUGCAUUAAAUAUUUUACAUAGUUUCAAUAUAUGUUUUAAUUAGAUGCUCUAGAGAGUUAUAUGUUGUUCAAUGAGAACUACUCCCUCCGUCCCAAAAUUCUUGUCUCAGAUUUGUCUAAAUACGAAUAUAUCAAAUCACGUUUUAGUAUUAGAUACAUCAGUAUCUAGAAUAAUCUAAGACAAGAAUUUUGGGAUGGAGGGAGUAUGUAUGAACUUAAUGUGAUGAUGAACUUCUACUAAUUUGGUCACUUCUCUAUUCAUGAUGUUCUGUAAUGGAUUUUGACACACUUAUUUAUAUAUAAUGCAUGCAGAUGUACCGACAAUGGAUGUACGGUGACAGACGCACCUCCGAGUACAUUAUGGGCGUGCAUAAUUUUCUCGAAGUGGCUGAGGCAAAGAAGCAAAAUGGUUUUAUGUGUUGUCCAUGCCCUAGAUAUGAGAAUACAAAGUCCUACCCUGACUCGAAAACAUUUACAUCCACCUGCUUGAGAAGGGUUUCAUGCCACACUAUAGUAUUUGGACCAAGCACAGAGAAAGAGGGGUUAUGAUGGAAGACAAUGAAGAAGAAAAGGAUGAUGACGACUAUCCGCCCUCUGAAUACGGUGAUGCUGCAACGGGGGAAGCUAAAAAUCAAGAGGAACCAGACGAUGUGCCCGAUGAUGAUCUUCGCCGGGUCAUUGUUGAUGCAAAGAGACAAUGCCAAAGUGAAAGGGAGAAGUUGAAGUUCGAUCGCAUGUUAGAGGGUCACAAAAAAGGGUUGUACCCAAAUUGCGAAGAUGGCAACACAAAGCUCGGUACCACACUGGAAUUGCUGGAAUGGCAGGCAGACAAUGGUGUAUCUGACAACGGGUUUGAGAAGCUACUGAAAAUAUUGAAGAAGGAGCUUCCAAAGGAUAACGAAUUGCUCGAUAGUACGUACGGAGAAAAGAAGGUUCUAUUCCUUCUACGAUUGGUGGUGCAGAAGAUACAUACAUGUCCUAAUGACUGCAUCCUCUACCGCGGUGCAUACGAGGAUUUGAACACAUGCCCGGUAUGCAGUGCAUUGUGGUAUAAAAUCGGAUGAGAUGACCCUAGUGAUGUUGACGGUAAGCGCCCCAGGAAGAGGGUUCCUGCCAAGGUGACGUGGUAUGCUCCUAUAAUACCAAGGUUGAAACGUCUGUUCAGAAACAAAGAGCAUGCCAAGUUGAUGCGAUGGCACAAAGAGGACCGUAAGAAAGACGGGAAGUUAAGAGCACCCGUUGAUGGGUCACAGUGGAGAAAAAUUGAGAGAACGUGGGGGGACUUUGUAGGUGACCCAAGGAACAUAUGGUUUGGUUUAAGCGCGGAUGGCAUUAAUCCUUUUGGGGAGCAGAGUAGCAAUCAUAGCACCUGGCCCAUGACCCUAUGUAUCUAUAACCUUCCUCCUUGGUUGUGCAUGAAGUGGAAGCUCAUUAUGAUGCCAGUGCUCAUCCAAGGCCCUAAGCAACCCGGUAACGAUAGUGAUGUCUACCUAAGGCCAUUAGUUGAAGAACUUUUAUAGCUAUGAAAUGGAAAAGGUGUACCUUUGUGGGAGGAACACGACCAGUAGGAAUUUGACCUACAUGCGUUGCUGUUUGUAACUAUCAAUGAUUGGCCUACUCCUAGUAACCUUUUAGGAUAGACAAAUAAGGGAUACCACACAUGCACAUACUAUUUAGAUGACACCGAAAGUAUAUAUUUGGACAAAUGCGGGAAGAAUGUGUACCUGGGACAUCGUUGAUUUCUUCCGACCAACCAUCAAUGUCGAAAGAACGGCAAGCAUUUCAAAGGUGAGACAGAUCACCGGAAGAAGACCGCCAUCCGUACUGGUGAUCACAUAGUUGAUAUGGUUAAUGAUUUACAUGUAAUCUUUGGAAAGGGUCCCGGUGGACUAUCUGUUCCGAAUGAUGCCGAGGGACGCGCACCCAUGUGUGAGAAGAAAUCUAUAUUUUGGGACCUACCCUAUUGAGGGAGUCCUGGACUGAGGGGUCUUCGGACAGCCAGACUAUAUACUUUGGCUAGACUAUUGGACUAUGAAGAUACAAGAUAGAAGACUUCGUCCCGUGUCCGGAUGGGACUCUCCUUUGUGUGGAAGGCAAGCUUGGCAAUUCGGAUAUGUAGAUUCCUUUCUCUGUAACUGACUUUGUAUAACCCUAGCCCCCCGGUGUCUAUAUAAACCGGAGGGUUUAAACUUCUAGGGUUCAGCCACAACAAUCAUAACCUCAUAGGCUAGACUUCUAGGGUUUAGCCAUUACGAUCUCGUGGUAGAUCAACUCUUGUAAUACUCAUAUUCAUCAAGAUCAAUCAAGCAGAAAGUAGGGUAUUACCUCCAUAGAGAGGGCCCGAACCUGGGUAAACAUUGUGUCCCCCGCCUCCUGUUACCAUUAGCCUUAGACGCACAGUUCAGGACCCCCUACCCGAGAUCCGCCGGUUUUGACACCGACAUUGGUGCUUUCAUUGAGAGUUUCGCUGCGUCGUCACCAGAAGGCUUGAUGGCUCCAUCAAUCAUCUACAACAACGCAAUCCAGGGGGAGAUCUUCCUCCCUGGAUAGACCUUCGUAUUCGGAGGCUUCGCAUUGCGGGCCAACUCGUUUGGCCAUCUAGAGCAGAUCGACAGCUACGACCCUGGCCAUCGGGUCAAAUUUGGAAGCCUGAAUUUCAUGGCCGAUAUCCACGGAGACUUGAUCUUCGAUGUAUUCAAGCCCAUGACGGCUGUCCCCGGCCACCACGAUGAACAUGACCUAUAUUUGUCAUCUGGCCGCACACAGGAGAUAGGGCCCGUGACCGCCCCUAGCCCUAGAGCCGGAGCGGACUGCAUCGUCCGAGGACGGGAAGCUUAACCCCGCCGCGGAGGCCGCAGACUCAACGAUGCUCGAGCAACACACAUACCCAACAUCAGGCUGGGCUUGUAUCAUCGAAACCACGAACUUGUCUCCGUCCAUGGUUUCCGGACCGCGUGCAUCCGCGUCCAUCGGUCCCGAUUGGGCGCCGGUCUUGGAGUUCAGCUCCGCAGACAUCUUUUAGCACUCACCUUUUGGCGACGUGUUAAACUCAUUGAAGUCCCUCUCCUUGUCAGGGAAUUCUCGGCCAAACUAUGUCCAGCUCGAAUGGGAAGCGGACGACGAAGAACUUCGUUUCCCACCCACCACCCACUUCAUUGCCACAGUUAAGGACUUAGCCGACACACUCGAUUACGGCUCCGAGGACAUCGAUGGUAUGGAUGACGAUGCCGGAGAGGAGCAGGCACAAAAACCACCACCUUUAGGGCAGUGGAUAGCUACAUCGUCAUACGAUAUAUACAUGGUGGACACACCAAAGGAGAAUGAGGCCGACGGCGAUAACAACAUGCCUGUCAAUGAACCUCCCAAGCGUCGGCGUCCCAAUCACCGACCUCGAUCUGGCAAAAAGAAAAACAACAACAUUGUCACGGACGCUGAUGAUAAUCCGAACCAAGCCAAGGACCCCGCAGACAUAGUGUUAGAUCAAGGCGUGCGAGAGGACGGCGAACACAGUCCGGAGAUGUUGUCCGAGCAUAGCGAUGCCGAAGAUAGCAAUUACCAACCUGUCUCUAAAGAGGACAUCAGCCUGGGCGACGACGAGUUCGUCAUCCCAGAAGAACCAUUAGAACAAGAACGCCUCCACCAAAGGCUUAUGGCCACUUCAAGGAGCCUAAAGAAGCAGAAGCAGCGGCUUAAAGCCGCACAUGAUACGCUCAAUGACAAAUGGAACGAAGUGCUAGACGCCGAGGAAAAAUACAGUGGUAAUCGCUAGACAAAUAGCUAUCCUAAACGUAGGCUGCUGCCCAAAUUCGAUGACGAGGCUAUUGCGCUCAUAUACCGCUGAAAAACAAUACGACCGAUAGGCCGGACCGACCACCUCGUGGUCGAGACAGAGCAGAUAGUAAUGCCGUACACAAGCCCGCACCCCCUUCCCGCAAAGGAAGGAAGGUCGUGGCCCAGGACCAGAAACAUGAUUUACGUGAGGACCUGGACAAAAUGGCUGGCAAAACCAGGUCCAUCUACGGAUCUAGGGAACGUGAUCCUACACGGGACCACAAUUAUCAAACAAAAUAUGCUAGCCAUUUACUAGCUUGGAACCAAUAAGGAACACUAUAACCGUCGGAUCCAAUCCAUGACAUAGCCAGAUACAGGGGUGCCGCACACCCCCUGUGCUUCACCGAUGAGGUGCUGGAACAUGAUUUUCCAGAAGGGUUCAAACCCAUAAAUAUCGAGGCGUAUGAUGGAACGACAGACUCUAUGGGUUGGAUAGAAGACUUUAUUCUUCACAUCCACAUGGCUCGCGGAGAUGAUCUCCACGCCACCAAAUAUUUACCCCUCAAGCUAAAAGGGCCAACUCGACACUGGUUAAAAAGCCUCCCUGAAAACUCCAUAGGAAGCUAGGAGGAACUUGAGGAUGCUUUUCGGGCCAAUUUCCAAGGGACCUAUGUCCGGCCCCCAGAUGCAGACGAUCUAAGUCACACAAUCAAACAACCCGAAGAAUCAACCCGUAAGCUUUGGAGCCUAUUUCUCACUAAGAAGAACCAAAUCGUCGACUGUCCGGACGCCGAAGCCUUAGCGGCCUUCAAACACAGUGUCCGGGACGAAUGGCUAGCCAGACACCUCGGCCAGGAAAAGCCAAGGACAAUGGCUGCCUUAACAACACUAAUGACCUGCUUUUGCGCAGGCGAAGACAACUGGUUAGCCCGUCGCAGCACCAGCGACCCCGGCACAUCCGAAGUCAGGGAUAGCAAUGGAAAACCACGACGCAACAAGAACAAAUGUCGGAACAAUGAAGAAAGCCCAGAAAACACAUCGGUUAAUGCCGGAUUCAAGGGCUCCAGACCCGAUCAACGGAAGAAGCCAUUUAAAGGCAACAAAGACAGUCCAUCGAACCAGGGUAAAAUCCUAGACAGGCCCUGCCAGAUCCACGGCACUCCCGACAAACCAGCCAAUCAUACCAACAGAGAAUGUUGGGUCUUCAAGCAGGCCGACAAACUCAAAGCCAAAAACAAAGGGAAGGGACCUCAGAGCAAAGACGAGGACAAACCUCGCUAGCCAAACACGGUGAACAGAAGAAAUUUCCACCGGAGAUCAAAACAGUUAACAUGAUCUAUGUCCCUCAUAUCCCAAAGCAGGAGCGCAAGCCCGCACUCCGAGAGGUCUAGACCGUUGAGCCCGUCUCCCCCAAGUUCAACCCAUGGUCGGCCUGUCCGAUCACCUUUGAUUGCAGGUAUCAUCCGACUAGUAUCCGUCACGGGGGUUCGGCUGCCCUAGUGCUCGACCCCGUAAUCGACGGAUACCACCUCACUCGAGUCCUCAUGGAUGGCGGCAGUAGUCUCAAUAUGAUAUAUCAGGACACUGUCCGCAAGAUGGGGAUAGACCCGUCAAGAAUCAAGCCAAGCAACACUACCUUUAAAGGAGUUAUACCGGGGGUGGAAGCCUGCUGCAUGGGCUCUAUAACAUUGGAUGUUGUAUCUCCUGACAACUUUCGAAGUGAAGAACUAAUCUUCGACAUAGCUCCGUUCCGAAGUGGCUAUCAUGCACUACUCGGAAGAACGGCCUUCGCCCGUUUUAACGCAGUCCCGCAUUAUGCUUAUAAAAACUCAAAAUGCCUGGACCACGUGGCGUCAUUACGGCCAGUGGAAAUACGGAGCACUCUCUUCGCAUAGAGGAAUACACGGCGGCUCUAGCAGUCGAAGCAAAAAAUGGCCUAUUCAAGCCGAACAGCUCAUCGGUCGUUAAAACCGCAGACACAGCUAAACAUGUCCGGCGCACACCUCAGUGUGGCAGCUCAGAUAAACCUGAGCUCGAUUAGCAGCUAUGCCCCCAUCAACCGCCCCAUAAGGAGAUAUACUCAAAAUUCCUUGGGCGGCUUCAGGGGCACUCUGCAUACAAAAGGUCCAUAGUUCGGCUUGACCCUAUUUGGACUCUAGAAGCUAUCCUUCACGGUUCAUUAAAACGAACCAGCUUUCCUUACGGCGACACCAGAUUCUUUUACCUGGUUUUUUCCUUUUUUCUUAUAGAUGGCCAUCAUAUUAUACCCUUCAAGUACACUUCACAACGGAGACAAAGGCACAGACGUGCAGCAGGGCCCCGCAUUAAGGUUUCUUUUUUAGAUUAAGACCCUGUGUAAAUAUUUUUUAUCUCUUGUUGUUUUAUACUUUCCUGGCAUGUAAAAUGUCCAAGAAAGGUACCAACAUUAUCUAUAAACACACGGCUCGCCAUACUAAAGGGGAUGUUAUAGAAGCAGCUUGGUUCGUAUUGUGUUUUGAGAUUUAUGUUCUCACCACCUACGCUCUUUCCCCACGUUGGAUUGCCAUAUGUGCCUUGACACCAGGGGUCUAUCACUAGGGGCUAUAUUCAGCCCGGUGUAUAUUGUAAAGUCCAAACACCUAUAGGGAGUGUUUGGCGUCGCGAGUUUGGCCUUAUAUGCAUCAGCUCCGAAUCAUGUCUUUGGUCAAUAGUUGGGUUGCCCGGAUCCUGUGCUUACUACCUUAUGUUCCGCUAUAUCUUCUAGGAUAGUAAAGGGAGAACUACUGCGAUUGUGUCCCGGCUAGCCCGGAUGAGCACCUCAAUAGAGAAAGCCGAAAACUGACUAUCAUGAUGCGACGAGAGCUGGUCAACCACUCGAUGACUUAUCGGAAUCUUCGCGAUUUCCUCCGUAUUAAACGAAGGACCGUCACUCUGGUCACGUAUGUAAACGCACCGUAUUCGGAUAACCGCGGACAUACCAGGGGCUAUAUAGUAGCCCCACCGUCAAACUCCUCUGGCUAAGUGAAAGUGUUAAAGCUCUAUAGUACGAUUUCCUAGUUCUCCGCACUAACACCUCCUUAAAGGACCAAGACGUUGGGUCAAGUGUGAUCAAGUGCUUUUCCGAACACCCCCGUGUAAAACGUGAGGGGGCUGAAGCCGACAACUGCAAACUUUUAGAUUGUAUAUAAAAAAGAUGGCCGCAUAGGAGGCACCAAAAAUUUUCAGGCAAAAAGUAUAAAACCACAGCCUUAAAUAUAUCAUAAUGUUGUUAUUACAAUUUUGAUACACUUUACUCGAACAUAAUAUUUUUUGAGCACUGACCCUCUAUUAAGCGGGCACCCUCUAGGACAUCUUCAAAGUAAUGUUCUAGCAUGUUAAGGUCCUUGCCUUCGGGUGGACUCUGCGCUGCAAUAUCGGUGGCCGUCAUCUUUGCCUAGUAUAUCUUGACACAGGCAAGGGCCAUCCGUGCACCUUCUAUGCAUGUUGAGCACUUCACGGCAUCGAUACGCGGCACCGCAUUGACAAGCUGCCGCAUCAAACCGAAAUAACUAUCCGGAAUGGGUUUAGUUGGCCACAGCCGGGCUAUGACGUCCUUCAUGGCAGUGCCGGACAUCUUGUGGAGCUCGGCCCAUCGGGCCAUCUGUUUGUUCAACAGUGGACGCUUCGGCGUAUCAAAUUGCGACCAAAACAAUUUUUCCGUUGCAUGUCCUUCUUGCGCGUGAAAAAACUGAUUCACAUCUGCGACACUCUUCGGCAAGUCCAUAAAGGGGUCCGGAGAACUCCACCGUUGAAUAAGCGGCGCAUACUUCGGAUCGCCAAACUUAGUUUGCAAUAAAAAAGGGCUUACCAGCCGCGAUCUCCCCAGCUUGUUGGAUCUCCUCCCGAGCUGCUCUAGACUCAGACUGGGCUUCCUUCACCUCUUGUAAGGCCUUAUCCAGAUCGGCCGCUUUUGCUUUGUUAUCUUUCUCAAGAUCUUGGCAUCGGCUAGUGGCAUUCUUCAACUCAAGUGCCACGGUAGAUAUCCUCUCCUCGCACUGACGCCGACCAGUCUGCUCGACUUUUAAUUCGGCGGCUACCUUUUCGGCAGCCGCAUUACUAAUCUUGGCUUGCUCCUUGGCCCGGGCAAGUCCCGCCCAAAGGGUCUCAACUGCGGCGGCACUAUCUGCAGUUAUGCAUAUACAAAUUUUCAGUAUCAUGCUCAUUUCACAAUACUAGCAUGUACUGAGUGCCCCAGAGACAUACCUUGCACCUCGUCGAGUCGCCUGUUCAUAAGCGUGUUGUCAUCAUCUGCCACAUCAACUUUCUGCUUCAAAUGUGCUACCUCGAUAGCUUGGGUAGUCCCCACGAAUAUAACAACCUAUGUUUCAAUUAGUCAUAUCAUUUCCUGGGCAUAUAUCGAUGAUCCUCUGAUCGCAUUCCUUUGGAUGUCAACCAGAGUCUCGGGGGCUACUAUCUAUACACAGGUGCAAUUUAUAUAAUUAAAAUUACACUACGUACCUCAAAGCCUCUUAGUAGGCUAGAAAAGGCUUCAUUCAAUCUGCUUUCUGCGGACCGAACUCUUUCCAACACCGUACCCAUCAAGGUACGAUGUUCCUCUGAGACGGAGGCAUGUUGCAAAAUGUCCAUCAAUGCAUCCUGCGUCCCUUGGACAUUUGAUAGUCCGGGACUUUUGUUGUUUCCUGUAGGGGCCGCACACCCCGGACCCUGGGCGGCCGAAGUAUUACCUUCGGCCCCGGUCCUCACUGUCCCUUGCGCCACUUGCAGAUCGGGAAGGAUCCUCCGGGACGACACCUCAGCAUCGCCUGCCUUAUCAGGCAGGGAGGUCUGUGGAGGCGUCUCGCUCUCCAUCAUCUCCAGAAGUAGAUCCCCAGAAGAGGAGGACUGUUGAGGAGGGCUGCGUGCUGGACUGCAAACAUGAGUUUAAAAUAUCACCCUUAUAGCCAGGAAAGAAAGGGACAUGUUUAAAAUACCCGGAUUCACUUACGAUGCGCCUGAGGGCCUAUUUUGCAGGGUGACUGCAUGUCAACAUCACCCCCUGACUGGGAUACCUUCCCCCUCUUACAAGCUUCUCUUUUCAAGUCUUCGGAGACGGCCCUUUUCUUCCCAUGGGGAGAAGAGGCGUCAGUUCGCCCUUCCCUUCCACCUUUGGAAGCGGGAGUUCUAAUCUCCCCGAAUGAAUUGCCUAGUGAGCCUCCAGAGUGGAAGCUGCCUUGGGCCUCUUCGUCCUCCUCUUUAUCUUCCCCCGCCGGCACUUGAUACGGCACCGGAGCAAACAUCCUUGUUAAUAACGGAUCAACAGUGUCUUGGGGAAGUGGAGCCGAACACCUGAUUCUCUCUGCCUUCUUUAGCUAGCCCUGGCCGGAUAGAGUUUUAUCAGUACAUUGUCAUGAAUAAUUUGACUAAAUCAUGUUUGGGGGUCGAGUACUUACCGGAGUAUUUAGAUGGUUGCAGUCAAGACCGAUGUCUUCUGUAGUAUCCGGCCACUGUUUUCGUGCGCCGAAGAACAAUUUCCACAUCUCUCUGAGCAUCAUGCCAGAAAGGUGCUGACGGGUCCGUGGACCUUCCGGAUUAAACUCCCACAUGCGGAGAGGGCGUCGCUGGCAGGGUAGGAUCCAGCGGACUAACAUUACUUGGAUUACAUCAAUGAGACCGGUGUCCUUCUCAAUGAGGCUCCGGAUGCGGCUUUGUAGUGUCCACACUUCAUCUGUAGAUCCCCAGUCCAGCCCCUUGUUAAUCCACGAUGCGAGCUGUGGCGGAGGGCCGGACCGAAACGCAGGUGUGGCUGCCCACUUUUUACCGCAGGGUUCGGUGAUGUAAAACCACUCCCGUUGCCAUAAGUCAGAAGAUUAUGCAAAGGGGACCUUUGGCCAAGUGGAGUUGAUAAGCUUGCUUAUUGAAGCGCCUCCGCACUCCGCUUGUUUCCGGUCGAUUACCUUCGGUUUCACGUUAAAGGUCUUAAGCCAUAAGCCGAAGUGUGGGGAAAUACGGAGGAAGGCCUCGCAUGUGGUGAUGAACACUGAAUGUGGAGGAAGGAGUCUGGGGCUAGAUCGUGGAAAUCUAGCCCGAAAUAAAACAUGAACCCUAGAAAUGAAGGGAUGGAGAGCAAACACAAGCCCUCGAAGGAAGUGAGAGAUAAACACGACCCUCUCAUUGGAUCUGGGAGUAGGAAUAACCUGCCCUUGAGCAGGAAGCCCGUGGUAGAUUUCCGUAGUCAAGUAUCUGGCCUCCCUAAGCUUCAAGAUGUCUUCCUCUGUGACAGAAGAGGCCAUCCACCAGCCCUGAAGGCCGGGUCCGGACAUGGCUGGAAGCUCGAAGCGACUAGAUUGACCCUUGGGUGUUGGAACUUGAGGUGGGGGGUGGAGGAAAGAACUAGCAUUGAAGAAAACGGACAAGGCUUAAACCCAUUUAUAAAGGCGACGAAUAUCAAGCGUCCCCUCCAUGGCCUUAAAACAUGCCUAUUCCCGAGGAAUUAUGCCAACAAAACGGUUGGGUUACCCACGCCCAUGUUGAUGAAAAUCCCAUAAUAAGGGGACACGAUCUCUGCUUUGACAAGACGUGCCAAUAAAAACCGCCAACCGAAGCGUGGGGUAGCAGGCUAGAAAACGAUUCAAAAUAAUGGCCGAGUAAUGACGCAAUGUCGUACUACCAAAUUUGUCAGCGAAUUGGAAUUGUAAAUAUUAUACUCUCUACGGUGGUUUGUAGAACUUGUUUUGCAGAGCCGGACAUGAUUCUUGUGUUCGAGAUCUACUUUGAAGUAUUCAGAGAAGGAACCCGCCUUGCAAUGCCGAAGACAAUCUACGCGCAGGACUCAUCGUCAUUGAAGCCUGGUUCAGGGGCUACUGAGGGAGUCCUGGACUAAGGGUUCCUCGGACAGCCGGACUAUAUACUUUGGCUGGACUAUUGGACUAUGAAGAUACAAGAUAGAAGACUUCGUCCCGUGUCCGGAUGGGACUCUCCUUUGCGUGGAAGGCAAGCUUGGCGAUUCGGAUAUGUAGAUUCCUUUCUCUGUAACCGACUUUGUAUAACCCUAGCCCCCCCGGUGUCUAUAUAAAUCGGAGGGUUUAGACUUCUAUGGUUCAAUCACAAGAAUCAUAACCUCAUAGGCUAGACUUCUAGGGUUUAGCCAUUACGAUCUCGUGGUAGAUCAACUCUUGUAAUACUCAUAUUCAUCAAGAUCAAUCAAGCAGGAAGUAGGGUAUUACCUCCAUAGAGAGGGCCCGAACCUGGGUAAACAUUGUGUCCCCCGCCUCCUGUUACCAUUAGCCUUAGACGCACAGUUCGGGACCCCCUACCCGAGAUCCGCCGGUUUUGACACUGACACCUAUUGGAAAGACCUAGAGGUCCGCUCUGCAAUCGACGUGUUGCACGCGAUGAAGAAUCUUUGCGUGAACCUGCUAGGCUUCUUGGGCAUGUAUGGGAGGACAAAAGAUACACCGGAGGCAUGGGAGGACCAGCAAUGUGUGCACGAAAAAGAUGGCAUGCAUCCAAAGCAGUAUGAAGGGCCUGCCAGCUACGCUCUUACCAAAAAAGAGAAGGAAAUCUUCUUUGAAUGUCUACUUAGUAUGAAGGUCCCGUCUGGCUUCUCGUCACAUAUAAAGGGAAUAAUAAAUAUGGUAGAGAAAAAGUUCCAGAACCUAAAAUCUCAUGACUGCCACGCGAUUAUGACGCAACUGCUUCCGGUUGCAUUGAGGGGGCUUCUACUGAAAAAUGUUCGAUUAGCCAUUGUGAAGCUAUGUGCAUUCCUCAAUCCAAUCUCUCAGAAGGUAAUCGAUCCAGAAAUCCUACCAAGGUUAAUGAGUGAUUUGGUGCAAUGUCUUGCCAGUUUCGAGCUGGUGUUCCCACCAUCCUUCUUCAAUAUCAUGACGCACGUUCUAGUUCAUCUAGUCGACGAGAUUGCCAUUCUGGGCCCUAUAUUUCUACACAAUGUGUUCCCCUUUGAGAGAUUCAUGGGAGUCUUAAAGAGAUAUGUUCAUAACCGUGCUAGGCCAGAAGGAAGCAUCUCCAUGGGCCAUCAAAUAGAGGAGGUCAUUGGGUUUUGUGUUGACUUCAUCCCUGACCUUAAGCCGACUGGUCUCCCUCAAUCGCAGUAUCUGGGGAGACAGACUGGAAAAGGCACGCUAGGAGCAGACUCAAUAAUAUGUAGGGACGGGCAUUCUUGGUCUCAAGCACACUACACAGUUCUACAAAAUUCUACCUUGGUGACCCGUAUGUCAAUGAACACAAGAAUAUUCUGCACUCCAAUCACCCGGAGCAGUGUGACAACUGGAUUACAUGUAAACACACAAGACUUUCAGCAGUUGGUUGCAAACACAUCUCAUGGGUGACAACACUGUUGCAGAUGAGCUAUACUCAUUGGCCAGGGGACCAUCUUCGACUGUAUUGACUUACAAAGGGUACGAGAUAAAUGGGAAUACAUUUUACACGAUCGCCCAAGAUCAAAAGAGCACCAACCAAAACAGUGAUGUCCGCUUUGAUGUCCUUUCCCCCGUUCAUCCUAGCCAAUGAUGUGGCACGGGUUAUCUAUGUGAAGGACAUGUCUACCAAACCGAGAAAAAGAAAAAAUAAGGAAGCAAAUACAUCAUACGAUGAGCCAGAGCGCCACAUAGUUCUUUCAGGAAAAAGAGACAUCGUGGGAGUGAAGGGCAAGACAGACAUGUCCGAAGAUUAUGAAAAGUUUCAUGAAAUUCCUCCCUUCAAAGUCAAGGCUAACCCAAGCACCGUGUUAAACAAUGAAGAUUAUACACGAUUACGGUGCAAUAAGCAAGGGACACGUGCGAAGAAAAAGUGAAGGUGCUAUGUGGGUGAAAUGAUGAUACCAUGCCAACUUUCAACCUUCUCAGAGUUCAUUUGUAGUUGAAAGUGCUAGUUAUCGACUAGAGGGGGGGGGGGGUGAAUAGGCGAUUUUGAUGGAAGUCUUCAAAACACGGUUGCUUUGAAGACAAGAGGUAAACUAAGCCUAUAUAGUAAGCAGCGGAAUGAAAGCUAUACUAGGCAAACAUAAGUCUAACAUACAACAUAAUGAAAGCACGGAGACUAAUUGCAACUAGGUAGUCAGGAUUAGAAAGAUAGAUAGUACGGAGCUAAAAAGAUAAUAGUCUUCACAGUGUGAAGUAAAACAGAUUAGACAAGUAGGCAAUGACUUCACAAAGACAACUGUAAAGUAAGGAGAGUAGAGGAUAGAACUAGUAGCUUCACGAAGACAAGGAUUUGGUAGACCAGUUCCAGUUGCUAUGACAACUGUACGUCUGGUUACAGAGGCUGAGAUUUAACUCAGAAGACCGUGUCUUCACCUUAUUCCCCUUGAGAUAAGGACACCCAGUCCUCGCCCAAAUACUCUGGUAAGUCUUUGAGGUAGACUUCCAAACCUUCACAGACUUUGUUCACUGGCAAUCCACAAUGACUCUUGGAUGCUCAGAACGCGAUGCCUAACCGGCUGGAGGAUUCACAGUCCUCAAGUGUAACAAGUCUUCAGAUCACGCGGACAGAAAUACUUCUGUGAUGCCUAACACUGUAGCGACCAGACCUCAAACAGUCUGAUCUCUGUGCAUCAGUGUCAUCCCUGGAUCAGUAAUGCUGACACGCACAGUACUCGAAGGAUUUAUAACAGAGUAGCAAUCACACACUUAUUACAUCGAAUGUCUCCAAAAGAGAACUUAUUACAAUAAAUAUGGCUUAAGGCCAUCUAAUAACGAUAACAGCGGAAGGCUUGGAAGAUAAGUGAGUCCAUCAACUCCAACGGCAUCACUGAGUAUAGAACCACGACCUAAGGCACCUUACUCGUCGUCUGAAAAGUCUGCAACAUGAACGUUGCAGCCCGAAAAUGGGUCAGCACAUGGAAUAUGCUGGCAAUGUAACACAUAGAGAGUAAUAUGAAAGAGUAAGGCUAUACUACAUGCAUAUAUGGCUGGUGGAAAGCUCUAUGGUUACAGUUUUGCAUAAAGCCAAUUUUUCCCUACUGCAAAGGAAUAAAUUUUAUUUAACUAUCAUGGUGGUUGUUAAACAUUGAGAAUGGUUGACAGCUUUCUCAAUCCCAAUUAAGCAUCAUCAUUAAAACCCAACAAUAUUAAUUAAAGUAACAUGAUGAGAUUCACAUGAUAAUCCAAGUACUAGAUACUCAAGAUGUCCAUAACCGGGGACACAGCUAACCAUGAUUAGUUUGAUACAUUCUGCAGAGGUUUGCGCACUUUUCCCCACAAGACUCGAUCUCCUCCGUUGGGAUUCUCGCACUACACGGUGUUUGAGAAAUGGAUGAUCGGGACAUAGUAUUUCAGAAGCGCUAGCACCUUACAAAGGGGUAGACCGUACCAACAUACAUCCCCUACAUCGUCAGCUAGUCUAGCACUGUAAGAGUUCGCACGACCUAGUCAACUAUGCCAGAGCCCAUAGUAGCUUAUGGCUGCACACGGAAGUUUCUAGCAUGAAUAAUCUCAUGAUCCCUUUGAGCCUGGGUGGCGGUCCAAAAAGAAACAGGCAAUCCUGGAAUACCCAGGUACCUCAAUCCACCGAGAUGUGUGUUUAAGUUUCCACCUUAAAUAAACCAUUAAUUAAGAAUCUCACAUCUGUCAUGGAUACACUCACCCAAUCCACGUCUACUAGCAUAGCAUGGCAUAAUAAGCAAACGUAGAAGUAACUCCCAAGGGUUUGAUAAUAAAUCAGGUAAUAGGUACUACCUCAACUACUUUCCCAAAACCCACAAUUUAAUUAGAUCCUAAUCAUGCAAUGUUUGAGGAUUGAUCUAAUGCAUAAAAACUGGGUAUGAAAAGAAUAUGAUCAAAGUGUUACUUGCCUUGCUGAUGAUCCGUGAAACCUAGAGAUUCAAAGUAGCAAGCGGCGCACUCCGGGUACUCUAUCGCAAACAAACAAGCACACAAUAAGUACUCAACUAAUGCACAGGUAAAACUCAAAUAAAAGAUCUAACCAGAAAGUUCAACUUAAGAACUCCGGUUUGCAAAAAGAAACAACUCGAACGAAACAACAAAAAACAAACGGCGAAAGAAACAGGCUUCAUCUUACUAAUCUGGACCUAAGUCAAAUUUUAUAGAAGCAAAAACUUGUUUGAGUUGAUUAUUCGGAAAGAGGGUUUCGAGACCAAAACUCCAGGCGCUUGAAUCGCCUAAUUCCGAUAAACGAGCAAAAAUUUAUACUAGAUCGAAAAUCGGAUCAGAAAUCGCGAUCAGAAAAAUCGCGGAAUAAAUCCGAGAAAAAGAAAAACGAUGAAUAACUGGAUCUAAACGAUGAACGCGUUCAUUAAAACGAACAAACGAGCGAACGCUCGCUAUUUAACCUAAACCGAAAAAAACCGAUCUAAUAAAAAAAUGGAACUAAAAAACCGACUGAAAAACUGAACGGUUUUUCUAAAAAAAUGGCAGCGACGAGGUCAACCUCGGGGUGCGGGUCCGGCGAGGCGGCGGCUCCAGCGAGGGCGGCGGUGGUCGGCGGCGAUGGCGGCGUAGUCCAGCGAGGUCGGCGGCGGUCGGCAGGUUUGGCGGCGGAUCGGGNNNNNNNNNNNNNNNNNNNNNNNNNNNNNNNNNNNNNNNNNNNNNNNNNNNNNNNNNNNNNNNNNNNNNNNNNNNNNNNNNNNNNNNNNNNNNNNNNNNNNNNNNNNNNNNNNNNNNNNNNNNNNNNNNNNNNNNNNNNNNNNNNNNNNNNNNNNNNNNNNNNNNNNNNNNNNNNNNNNNNNNNNNNNNNNNNNNNNNNNNNNNNNNNNNNNNNNNNNNNNNNNNNNNNNNNNNNNNNNNNNNNNNNNNNNNNNNNNNNNNNNNNNNNNNNNNNNNNNNNNNNNNNNNNNNNNNNNNNNNNNNNNNNNNNNNNNNNNNNNNNNNNNNNNNNNNNNNNNNNNNNNNNNNNNNNNNNNNNNNNNNNNNNNNNNNNNNNNNNNNNNNNNNNNNNNNNNNNNNNNNNNNNNNNNNNNNNNNNNNNNNNNNNNNNNNNNNNNNGGUGCCGGCGGCGGAUCGGGCGGCGGGGCGCGGGCUAGGGUUAGGGUUAGGUGGGGCGCGGCGGCGGCUGGGCUGGCGGCGGCGGUUUGGGAUGGGGUCGGCCCGGGCGCGCGUUAUAAAGACCCCCGGCCCAAAGGCGGUUCGCGUUUUUUUAAAUAAUUCCGCGCAGAAAAACUAACGAAAGAAAUACUAAAUGGACUCCAAAAAUCCCGAAAUAAAUUUUCCCCGGCUUCGAAAAUAAAGCCGAACAAUAUGAACAUUUAUUUGGGGCCUAAAUGCAAUUUUAAAAAAUGCACAUUUUCCUAAAUUCAAAUAAAAUGGCGAAAAACUCCAAAUAAAAAUCUUAUUUGAUUUUUUAUUAAAUCUUCAAUAUUUCUUUGUUUUGGGAAAGUCAUUUUAUUUCCUCUCUCAUAUUUUGACAGUAGAAACAAUUGAAGCUAAAAUAAAUAUAAUCAAAUGAUCCUAUUUUCAAAAUUUGAGAAAACUCAAAUAUGAAAAUAACGAAAUUUCCAACUCUCUCCGUGGGUCCUUGAGUUGCGUGAAAUUUCUAGGAUUGAGCCAACAUGCAAUAAAAUAUGAUAUGCAAGUGAUGCUCUAUGUAUAACAUUCCAAAUUGAAAAUUUGGGAUGUUACAAACCUACCCCCCUUAAGAUGAAUCUCGCCCUCGAGAUUCGGGUUGGCUAGAAAAUAGGUGAGGGUGGGCCUUAAGCAGAUCUUCCUCUCGCUCCCAGGUGGCUUCAUCCUCGGUGUGGUGGCUCCACUGAACUUUGAAAAACUUAAUAACCUUGUUGCGGAUGACUCGGUUGGCAUACUGGAGAAUUUUGACUGGUUUUUCCUCGUAGGUCGAAUCAUUACCCAACUGAAUCGCUUCAAGCGGCACAAUAUCUUUCAGUGGUAUAUCAGCCAUCUCUGCGUGGCACUUCUUCAACUGAGAAACGUGGAACACGUCGUGAACUCCUGACAAUCCCUCGGGCAAUUCCAACUUAUACGCAACUUCUCCCAUGCGCUCCAGAACUUUGUACGGUCCCACAAAACGUGGCGCUAACUUUCCUUUAACUCCAAAGCGCUUAACUCCUCGAAGCGGGGAUACUCGAAGAUAAACUCUGUCUCUGACUUUGUAUACCGUCUCCUUGCGUUUUGAAUCCGCACAGCUCUUCUGCCUAGACUGCGCUACCUUGAGCCUAUCGCGAAUCAACUUCACUUUCCAUUCAGACUCCUUAAUCAAAUCUGGUCCAAACAACUGGAGGUCUCCAACUUCAUCCCACAACAGCAGGGUUCUGCACCUCCUUCCGUACAAGGCUUCGAAAGGGGCCAUCUUCAAACUGGUUUGAUAGCUGUUGUUAUAAGAAAACUCCGCAUAUGGCAAGUUGUCAUCCCAACUUGAUCCAUAAUCCAAUGCACAUGCUCUCAUCAUAUCCUCCAAAAUCUGGUUGACUCUCUUGGUUUUUCCAUCUGUCUGUGGAUGAAAAGCUGUACUAAACUCUAGUCUAGUUCCCAAAGUUUCGUGCAACUGAUUCCAACACUUUGAGGUGAAUUGGGUUGCUCUAUCUGAUACGAUACUCCUCGGAACUCCAUGCAGACAUACGAUUCUGGUCAUGUAUAUCUUAGCCAAUUUGGCACUGCUGUAGGUAGUCUUCACUGGAAUGAGAUGAGCUACCUUCGUCAAAUGAUCGACUACAACCUAAAUCGAGUCAUAGCCUGAACGAGUGCUGGGCAAUCCCGUAAUGAAAUCCAUGCCUAACUUUUCCCACUUCCAUUCGGGUAUUGGCAAAGGUUGUAACAAUCCUGCUGGCUUCUGAUGUUCUGCCUUCACUCUCUGACAUACAUCACAAACUGCUACAUACUCCACAAUAUCCUUCUUCAUUCCGGUCCACCAGAAAGUAUCCUUCAAAUCCAAAUACAUCUUGGUAUUCCUGGGUGAAUCGAAUACGGCGAAUCAUGGGCCUCUUGUAGAAUCAACUUCCUGAUCUCCGGAUCACUAGGCACAUAAACGCGGUCCUCAAACCAUAAGGUAUCGUGCUCAUCCUCAUGAAAUCCCUUAGAUUUUCCCUUGCUCAUUUUCUCCUUGAUAGAGGCAAUCUCCUUAUCCGUCUUCUGAGCUUCUCUGAUCUUAUCCAUCAAGGUAGAUUGUAUCUCUAAUGCUGAUACAUAGCCUCUCGGAACUAUCUCCAAACAUAGCUCUCAAAAUUCCUUGGCUAAUUCUUUUGGUAAACCUCCGGUCAUUAGAGUGUUGACAUGGCUCUUACGGCUCAACGCAUCUGCUACUACGUUAGCCUUUCCGGGAUGAUAAUGCAAUCUCAUAUCGUAAUCCUUAAUGAGCUCCAACCAUCUCCUCUGCCUGAGAUUUAACUCCUUCUGCAUGAAGAUGUACUUCAAACUCUUGUGAUCCGUGUACACCUCAUAGUGGUUUCCAAUAAGAAAAUGUCUCCAAGUCUUCGGUGCAUGCACUACGGCUGCUAGCUCCAAAUCAUGCGUAGCAUAAUUUAACUCAUGAGGCUUAAGCUGUCGUGAAGCAUACGAAACAACUCUUCCCUCCUGCAUAAGCACUGCUCCAAUUCCUCGACGUGAAGCAUCACAAUACACCUCGUAAUCCUUGCUUUGAUCUGGCAGUAUUAACACUGAUGAGGUAACCAAACGUUUCUUGAACUCUUGGAAACUAGCCUCACAUUCCUCAGUCCAAUUGAACUUAGUGUCCUUCUUCAACAACUCCGCCAUAGGCUUCGCAAUCUUCGAGAAAUUCUCAAUGAAUAUCCGGUAGUAUCCUGCCAGUCCAAGAAAACUCCGGAUCUCUCCAACUAUCGUUGGUGCUUCCCAGUUUGUCAUAGUGGCAACUUUAGUGGGGUCCACUGCUAUACCUUCUCCGAAUAUAACAUGUCCGAGAAAUCCAACUUCCUUCAACCAAAACUCACAUUUGCUGAACUUGGCAUAGAACUGAUGUUCUCUGAGCUUCUCGAGUACCAAACACAAAUGCUCCUCAUGUUCUUCUUCAUUCUUUGAGUAGACCAAAAUAUCAUCCAUGAACACCACGACAAACUUAUCCAAAAAUUCCAUAAACACCUUGUUCAUCAUGUUCAUGAAAUAGGCAGGUGCGUUAGUCAAACCAAGUGACAUAAUAGUAUACUCAUACAACCUGUACCUGGUUAUAAAAGCCGUCUUAGGUAUAUCCUGCUCUCGAAUCUUCAACUGAUGGUAUCCCGAUCGCAAAUCGAUCUUGGAAAAUACCUUAGCUCCUUGCAAUUGGUCGAACAAGUCGUUGAUCAUCGGCAACAGGUACUUAUUCUUAAUGGUCACUUCAUUCAAUCCACGAUAAUCAACAACCAUUCUCAAUGAUCCAUCCUUCUUCUCCACUAGAAGUACUGGCAAUCCCCAAGGCGAAGAACUUGGGCGAAUAAAACCUUUAUCCAGUAACUCCUUAAUCUGCUUCUUAAUUUCUUCCAAAUCUUGUGCGGGCAUCCUAUACGCUCUCUUAAAUAUCGCCCCGGUGCCUGACAAUAGUUCAAUCAAGAACUCAAUGUCUCUAUCCAGUGGCAUGCCUGGCAACUCUUCUGGAAACACGUCCGGGUAAUCCUUCACCACUGGUACUUCCUCCUGCACAACUCCUGAUAAGGAAUUUACAUGUGCCCUCCUCGGCUCAUGCCGUGAUACAUACUUGAUUCUUCUUCCUUCUGGGGUGGUAAGCAAAAUCGACUUACUGGCGCAAUCAAUGUUCCCUCCGUACUUUGAUAACCAAUCCAUGCCUAAUAUCACAUCCAAUCCUUGAGAUUCCAAAACUAUUAGGUCCGAGGGGAAUACAUAGUUUCCAAUCCUUAAUGGUAGUCGAUCACACCAUCUACUAGCCAUAUAUUCUGCUCCGGGUGAGGUUACUAGCAUGGGUGACCUAAGGGCUUGGGUUGGCAAUUUAUACUUAUCCACAAAUCCCCUUGAUAUGUAUGAAUGCGAUGCACCAGUAUCAAAAAGGACAACUGCAGUAAAUGUCUUAACCAAAAACUUACCUAUUACUGCAUCUGGCCGAGCUUCAACAUCCUCCACGGUAACGUGGUUCACCUGUCCCCUGUUGAAAGGGUUCGGCUUGUUCCCUGAGCUUCCAUUGCCAUUACCAUUUUGGGCUUCAGGACAUUCAUUUGCAUAAUGCACAGUCUUCUGACAUUUAAAACAAGUGACUUGGCUCAGGUCUCUCUUGGCUGGGGUUGACGGGUUGGUGCGGUUUUGUCCAUUGCUUCCUCCAUUCCCGUUUCCAUUCUUGGUGCCAUUAUGAUUGUGCGAGUUACCUCCUCCAUGGGUAUGCUAAAAUUUUCCUCCCGGCUUUGGGGUAAAGCGUAGCUUCUGCUGAGCUCCAGAAUUGUACUUCCCCUGUCCAUACUUCCUCUUGCGAUUGUCAAUCUGCUGCUGCUUCCCUUCAAUCAUAAGAGCAUGAUCUACCAACUCCUGGUAGUUAUUGAAAGUGGCCACCAUCAACUGCAUGCUUAGUUCAUCAUUCAGUCCUUCCAGAAACUUCUCCUGUUUAGCAGCAUCUGUAGCAACGUCAUCUGGGGCAUAACGAGCUAACUUACUGAAAUCCUCUACAUACUGGCCUAUAGUGCGCCCUCCUUGGCGUAAGUUGCAAAACUCACGCUUCUUCAUGGCCAUAACUCCUGUUGAAACGUGGGCAGUACGGAAAGCUUACUGAAACUGAUCCCAUGUGACUGUGUCAAUAGGGUGUGUGGCUGUGUAAUUUUCCCACCAUGAUGCUGUGGGUCCAUCAAGCUGAUGUGCGGCAAAACGCACUCUUUCCGCAUCAGUGCAUCCUGCAGCGGUCAGCUCCCUUCCAACCUUGCGGAGCCAAUCAUUUGCAGCAAUUGGCUCGGUGCUACUAGAAAACACCGGAGUAUUUAGCCUCAAGAAACAAGUCAAAUGGUCAACAGGUGGUGGUGGUGGGUUGUUGUUGUUGUUGUUGUUGUUGUUGUUGUUGUUGCCUUGGUUCCGUACCAGUGUUUGAAUCAAGGCAUUCUGCUACUGAAUCAACUGAGUGAUCUCCGGUGGGAAAACAAAUCUGGUGUCGCGUCUCGGAGGCAUCUGAGGGUUUAGAAAAGAAGAGAAAAAUAGAAUAGAAUGAGGUCUAGUGAGAAAACACUACCCAUAUGCACAUGAGACAAAAGCAAACAAUAUCACUCCAAUCAAUUCAAACAAGGGCAUACAACGGUCUAACUAUCGUUACAAACGUGCUUGGACUAAACUAAUUACAAUGGGGGAAAUUCUACUACUGUUAUGGUGGUCAGCUAGAAAAACUGCUUUGAUGAAGACUCCAUGAUAUCGGAUCCAGCUUCAUCAACAUAGUCAUCAUCACUAUCGUCGGGGUCCGAGUCGGUGUCGUCGAUGAUGAUAUAGUUAUUCGGGCAAAUGGAAUCGUCAUCAUUUCCUCCUGGCGCGGGGUCUCCCAUGAAAACUCCGAGCUUCCUGGUUAAGUGGUCAUUCUUCUCUACUAGCACUUCAAUUUCUUCCAUGUAAUCUUCACGUGUAGCCUUGAGUUCUUCCUGUAGCUCCUUGAUCUUGGUCAUAGCCUUCUGCAGAUCCUCCAUGCCUGCACACAUCUGGUUCUCCUGACGUUGGAUGUGCUGGUUUAACUCCUGGAUAAAAGCUGCGAUUGAUCUAUCCCUCUUGGUGCUGAUCAUCUCCCAUUGCUCAUCUCGACGCCCACAAAUCUGGUAGAUAGGAUUCUUGAGAUCAUUGUGGUAAACUUCUCCAAUACGUCCCAUGGCGAUGUGGGCUGCCAUGCUCUUUCCUAGACUCCAGGUUGGUGCAUCAAAGGAAAACUCUAUGGGCUCCGUGACUGGUGCAAAUGUCCUUCCUGGAACUUGAACUUGAAUCAUCCAGGGCUCCUCUUCGGGUAAAGUGGCAUUGUAGGUCCCGGUGAAGCUUGGUACUCCGAUGUUCAGGUAUCUAGUGACUUCCUUCAAGUGACAUCCAAAGGGUGUAUCUUCAUCCGGUUGUGUGAAUUUGUUCCUUGCAUCCGCCAUCCUAAAAGAAUAGAAAAGAUGAGGAGUCAGAAAUGAGAAGAAAGAGUAGUGAUCUAGGGCUUUAGCUUAGUGGCCGUGUCCUACAGUCAGCCUGUGCUCUGAUACCAUCUUGUUGCGACCAGACCUCAAAUAGUCUGAUCUCUGUGCAUCAGUGUCAUCCCUGGAUCAGUAAUGCUGACACGCACAGUACUCGAAGGAUUUAUAACAGAGUAGCAAUCACAAACUUAUUACAUUGAAUGUCUCCAAAAGAGAACUUAUUACAAUAAAUAUGGCUUAAGGCCAUCUAAUAACGAUAACAGCGGAAGGCUUGGAAGAUAAGCGAGUCCAUCAACUCCAACGACAUCACUGAGUAUAGAACCACGACCUAAGGCACCUUACUCGUCGUCUGAAAAGUCUGCAACAUGAACGUUGCAGCCCAAAAACGGGUCAGCACAUGGAAUAUGCUGGCAAUGUAACACAUAGAGAGUAAUAUGAAAGAGUAAGGCUAUACUACAUGCAUAUAUGGAUGGUGGAAAGCUCUAUGGUUACAGUUUGCAUAAAGCCAAUUUUUCCCUACUGCAAAGGAAUAAAUUUUAUUUAACUAUCAUGGUGGUUGUUAAACAUUGAGAAUGGUGGACAACAUUCUCAAUCCCAAUUAAGCAUCAUCAUUAAAACCCAACAAUAUUAAUUAAAGUAAGAUGAUGAGAUUCACAUGAUAAUCCAAGUACUAGAUACUCAAGAUGUCCAUAACCGGGGACACAGCUAACCAUGAUUAGUUUGAUACACUCUGUAGAGGUUUGCACACUUUUCCCCACAAGACUCGAUCUCCUCCGUUGGGAUUCUCGCACUACACGGUGUUUGAGAAACGGAUGAUCGAGACAUAGUAUUUCAGAAGCGCUAGCACCUUACGAACGGGUAGACCGUACCAACCUACAUCCCCUACAUCAGCUAGUCUACCACUGUAAGAGUUCGCACGACUUACUCAACUAUGCUAGAGCCCAUAGUAGCUUGUGGCUGCACACAGAAGUUUCUAGCAUGAAUAAUCUAAUGAUCCCUUUGAGCCUGGGUGGCGGUCCAAAAAGAGUAAGGCUAUACUACAUAGGUACCUCAAUCCACCCAGAUGUGUGUUUAAGUUGCCACCUUAAAUAAACCAUUAAUUAACAAUCUCACAUAUGUCAUGGAUACACUCACCCAAUCCACGUCUACUAGCAUAGCAUGGCAUAAUAAGCAAACAUAGAAGUAACUCCCAAGGGUUUGAUAAUAAAACAGGUAAUAGGUACUACCUCAACUACUUUCCCAAAACCCACAAUUUAAUUAGAUCCUAGUCAUGCAAUGUUUGAGGAUUGAUCUAAUGCAUAAAAACUGGGUAUGAAAAGAAUAUGAUCAAAGUGUUACUUGCCUUGCUGAUGAUCCGUGAAACCUAGAGAUUCAAAGUAGCAAGCGGCGCACUCCGGGUACUCUAUCGCAAACAAACAAGCACACAAUAAGUACUCAACUAAUGCACAGGUAAAACUCAAAUAAAAGAUCUAAUCAGAAAGUUCAACUUAAGAACUCCGGUUUGCAAAAAGAAACAACUCGAACGAAACAACGAAAAAUAAACGGCGAAAGAAACAGGCUUCGUUUUACUAAUCUGAACCUAAGUCAAAUUUUACAGAAGCAAAAACUUGUUUGAGUUGAUUUAUUCUGAAAGAGGGUGUCGAGACGAAACUCCAGACGCUUGAAUCGCCUGAUUCCGAUAAACGAGCAAAAAGUUAUACCAGAUCGAAAAUCGGAUCAAAAAUCGCGAUCAGAAAAAUCGCGGAAUAAAUCCGAGAAAAAGAAAAAUGACGAAUAGGUUAACGAACGAACGUUCGUGAACUAGAUCUAAAUGAUGUACAUGUUCUUUAAAACGAACGAACGAGCGAACGCUCACUAUGUAACCUAAACCGGAAAAAAACCAAUCUAAUAAAAAACGGAACUAUAAAAAACGGACGAAAAAACCGAACGGUUUUUCUAAANNNNNNNNNNNNNNNNNNNNNNNNNNNNNNNNNNNNNNNNNNNNNNNNNNNNNNNNNNNNNNNNNNNNNNNNNNNNNNNNNNNNNNNNNNNNNNNNNNNNNNNNNNNNNNNNNNNNNNNNNNNNNNNNNNNNNNNNNNNNNNNNNNNNNNNNNNNNNNNNNNNNNNNNNNNNNNNNNNNNNNNNNNNNNNNNNNNNNNNNNNNNNNNNNNNNNNNNNNNNNNNNNNNNNNNNNNNNNNNNNNNNNNNNNNNNNNNNNNNNNNNNNNNNNNNNNNNNNNNNNNNNNNNNNNNNNNNNAGCGCGGCGCGCGAGGCGGCGGCGGCGGAACGGGCGGUGGUGCGCGGGCUAGGGUUAGGGUCAGGUGGGGCGCGGCGGCGGCUGGGCUGGUGGCGGCGGUUUGGGCUGGGGUCGGCCCGGGCACGCGUUAUAAAGACCCCCGGCCAGGCGGAGUCCUGGCCGGUUACGGCCCAAAGGCGGUUCGCGUUUUUUUUAAAUAAUUCCACGCAGAAAAACUAACGAAGGAAAUACUAAACGGACUCCAAAAAUCCCGAAAUAAAUUUUCUCUGGCUUCUAAAAUCAAGCCGGAGAAGAUGAACAUUUAUUUGAGGCCUAAAUGCAAUUUUGAAAAAUGCACAUUUUUCCUAAAUUCAAAUAAAAUGGCGAAAAACUCCAAAUAAAAAUCUUAUUUGAUUUUUUAUUAAAUCUUCAAUAUUUCUUUAUUUUGGGAAAGUCAUUUUAUUCCCUCUCUCAUAUUUUGAUAGUAGAAAUAAUUGAAGAUAAAAUAAAUAAAAUCAAAUGAUUCUAUUUUCAAAAUUUGAGAAAACUCAAAUAUGAAAAUAACGAAAUUUCCAACUCUCUCCGUGGGUCCUUGAGUUUCGUGAAAUUUCUAGGAUCGAGCCAACAUGCAAGAAAAUAUGAUAUGCAAGUGAUGCUCUAUGUAUAACAUUCCAAAUUGAAAAUUUGGGAUGUUACAAACACUCUUUGGCUCUGGGUGUUUUGGGCUUUGUCCUCGCAAGGAUUUCUCUCUCAAAUGCUUCAGAGGUGUGUUGCUCUCAACCGACAAAAGCCGUGCACUAACUCUAAGAAGCCACCAAUUUAUGGUGUAGGGGGUGGGCUAUUUAUAGCGAGGAGGCAAUCCGACCUAAUUUGUCCAAAAUGCCCCUGGGUCACUAAGGAACUGACACGUGUCCAACGGUCAGAUUUCAAACACAUGCGGCAACUUGGUUUUGGCUACUAGCAAAGCUGACUCAUCUAGCUCUGGAUAAGAUUUGCUCUCAGUGUCUUCACUCGAAGACAUAGGAUUUGGUUGAGCAUCACUUCAGUCACUCCGACUUUGUUCACUUGGACCCCACUUAACAAUACGGUGGUUCCUAUGACUAAUAAGAAGAAGAGGAAACUACGAAACAACUAUGUCUUCGCACUCCAUAGUCUUCAAGUGAAUAGCUUCACGCGUCAUAAUCUUCGUUGUGAAUGUCUUCACGAACCACCAUUGUCGUCAAUGUCUUCACACAUUUUUAGGGGUCAUCUCUGGUAGGUAAACCGAGUCAAUGAGGGACACUACCUGUGUUAUCCUGCAAUUCUCACAAACACAUUAGUCCCUUAACCAUAUUUGUCGUCAAUACUCCAAAACCAACUAGGGGUGGCACUAGAUGCACUUACAAUCUCCCCCUUUUUUGUGAUUGAUGACAAACUGGUUGAAGUUUUCAAUGGGGAUAAAAGUAUGUGAAAGUUCAGUGUUGUGAGUAUUGUCUUCAUACAUAUGACGAGGCUUCCCCUGAAGAUGUGCAUAUAAAUAGUUUGCUUUUGAAUGCAAAUGCACGUGGCAGGUUUUUCUUUGUGGAGGCCAUCUUCAAAGUGUGAAGACAAUGCAUCAUGCAUAUAAAAGGAUAAUGAAGAUAAUGAUAUGCAUAAUGGAAAAUGGACGUCUGCAGAAUGACUUCAUGCAGAAUUUAUCAUUGCAUCACAAAGUGGCAGCAAAAAGUAGCAGACGACCAUCAAGUUUAAGUGUUACAACUGAAAAGCAAAAAGUUUCAGAAUGAGAGUUGUAAGAACUUAGCAAAAAUUUAGCAACCACCCAUAUGGACCCGCUUGAAGACUAUCAACUCAUAUGCUUCUCCCCCUUUUGUUAGUAAUGACCAAAAAGGUUUGAAGACAUAGAGAUCUACUCAUUCCUAGUUGGAGACGAAAGUGGAGCAGCAGGGUCGACGUUGGAGUUUGGUGGAGCAGACAGGCCUUGUGCAUCAUCAUCAUGCUGAGCAGUGAGAGCAGGCGAAGUGGCGUCAUCUUCUUCAUCGACGAAUCUCGCAACAACAGUUUCAACCGAGGAUGAAUACUCAGAAUAUUCAAUGGAGGGUGUGAGACACUAGUAGAAAAAGGGUCAAAUGUGAGACACAUUAGUCCCGGUUUGUAACAGAACCGGCACUAAUGUGUCCAUUAGUGCCGGUUCCAACGGCUAGCCGGGAGGAGCUCUUUAGUACCGGUUUGUGGCAAACCUUUAGCACCGGUUCGUGCCACGAACCGGUACUAAUGAGAGUGGUGGCAGGAUGUUGUCAGAGUGGGGCCCUUUCAGCACCUUUAGUACCGGUUCGUGUCACGAAUCGGUACUAAUGUUGUCAGAGUGGGGCCCUUCCAGCAUCUUUAGUACCGGUUCGUGGCACGAACCGGUACUAAAGGUCGUCCUAUAUAAAUCCUUCGUCCACCCGCACUCUGUUCUUCCCCCUUUCCCCUCUCCCUCUCCUCUGUUCUUCCCUUCUUCCUCUCGAGUUCAUCACAAAACUUGCCCCAAAUUUGUCAAGAUUUGCCGGCCCUCAUCCAUUCAAAUGAUCACCAAGGUUAGCAACUUCGUCCUUUCAUCUCUCAUUGCUAGAUUAGCUCUUGCAUUGGUUUAUAUAGUGAUUAAUUGUGGGUUUUAGUAAUUUGGGAGGAAUUAUAUGUGGUAGUAUUUGAUUUAUAUGCAAUUUGAGGUCAAAAUAACACUUAGUUUGCAUAUGUAGGUGUGGUUUACUUAGUGCCUUCUAAAUCUCCGUCGUAACCACCGUCGAUCGCCUGCACCGUCCCGUCGCCGGCACCACCUUGUGGUGAGACUCUUGUUCAUGAAAUUUUAUAUAAAAAAUUGAUGUUUGCGUGAUUUGGAUAUAUAGUUACUCGUAUAAUAAUUAUCUUACCCAUACGUUGUUUGUUAUACAUAGUGCCAUGGUUUUGAUAUCCGUCCCCGUCGGCUCUCGUCCUUGUUAUGAUUCGGAUGUGGUAUAUUCUCUUUUAAAACUAUUUGUUGCAUUUCGUGUUUAUGACAAAUUAUGCCCAUCAAGUUGACAUAGAUAUUUUUAUCUAGGAGGUAUGUGAACCGGAAAUUCCAACCGACCCUAUUGUCGAGAGGUUAAAUUUAGUUGAAAGAGAAAAUGAGUACUUGAAAGAAAAAUUGAAAAGAAUUGAGGAGGAGAAGAUGGAAUUGGAGUUGCAUGUUGCCGAUGUCAUCGAUGAUCACAAGAUCAAGAUGGAGAAAAUGCGCUUGAAGAUUAGAAAGAUUAGAAAAUAUGCCAUCGAUAGUGAGGCUUGGUAUCAUUAUGCUGUUGGAUCAAUUGUUACCUUAGUUGCGAUCUUGAUCGCAUUUGUUGUUGCAUUUAAAUGCUUUAGCUAGAGAGUUAUUUGUUUGUUGCAUUUAAGUGUUGUAUGAACUUUAUGUAUGAACUUGUAUUAAUUUGGUCUAUUCGGUGUUGUGUAAUGAAGAUGAGCCGGCAAUGGAUGUACGAUGACCGAUGCUCUCCCCAGUUUGUUGAGGGCGUGCAUACUUUUCUGCUUGCGGCUGAGGCAAACAAGCGGGCGGAUGGUUUUAUGCCUUGUCCAUGUGCUGGCUGUAAGAAUGGUCGCAAUUACUCUACGUCAAGAACCAUUCACGUCCACCUGUUUGAGUCCGGUUUCAUGCCCCACUAUAAUGUUUGGACCAAGCACGGAGAAAGAGGGGUUAUGAUGGAAGACAAUGAAGAAGAAGAGGACAACGACAACUAUCCUGGCCAUGGGUUCCCUAAAUACGAUGAUACAACAAUGGGGGAAGAAGCUGAGCCGGUAAUGCGGGAAGAAGCUGAGCCGGCAAUGCGGGAAGAAGCUGAAGAAGAGGCAUCAGAUGAGCCCGUUGAUGAUCUAGGUCAGGCCAUUGCCGAUGCAAAGAGAAACUGCGCAAGUGAUUUGGAGAAGAAGAAGUUGCAGCACUUGUUAGAGGAUCAUAAAAAAUUGUUGUACCCAAAUUGCGUAGGUGACAAGAAAAAGCUGGGCACCACACUGGAAUUGCUGCAAUGGAAGGCAGAGAAUGGUGUAUCUGACAAGGGAUUUGGAAAGUUGCUGGUAAUGAUAAAGGAUAUGCUUCCGAAGGACAACGAAUUGCCCGAGAGUACGUACGAAGCAAAGAAGGUUGUCUUCCCUCUAGGGUUAGAGGUGCAGAAGAUACAUGCAUGCCCUAAUGAUUGCAUCCUCUACCGCGGUGAGUACGAGGAUUGUGAAGCUAUGUGCAUUUCUCAAUGCAAUCUCUCAGAAGGUAAUCGAUCCAGAAAUCAUACCAAGGUUACAGAAUGAUUUGGUGCAAUGUCUUGUCAGUUUCGAGUUGGUGUUCCCACCAUCCUUCUUCAACAUCAUGACGCACGUCCUAGUUCACCUAUGCAAGGAGAUUAACGUUUUGGGUCCUGUAUUUCUACACAAUAUGUUCCCCUUUGAGAGGUUCAUGGGAGUCUUAAAGAAAUAUGUUCAUAACCGUGCUAGGCCAGAAGGAAGCAUCUCCAAGGGCCAUCAAAAUGAGGAGGUCAUUGAGUUUUGUAUUGACUUUAUUCCUGACCUUAAGCCGAUUGGUUCCUGAAUCGCGGCAUAAGGGCAGACUGGAUGGAAAAGGCACGCUAGGAGGGGAACAAAUAAUAUGUAUGGACAGACAUUCUCUCACUGAAGCACACUACACAGUUCUAUAGAAUUCCGCCUUGGUGGCUCCGUAUAUGGAUGAACACAAGAAUUUGCUACGCUCCAAACACCCGGAGCGGUCUGAUGACUGGAUUACACGUGAACAAACCAGGAGUUUCGCCAGCUGGUUGCAGACACGUACCAUGCAUGACACCUCUAUUGAAGAUGACCUGUACUUGCUGUCCCAGUUACCAUCUUCGAAUAUAAUGACUUUCAAAGGGUACGAGAUAAAUGGUAAUACAUUUUACACGAUCGUAAGAUAAGAAGAGCACCAACCAAAACAGUGGUGUCUGCUUUGAUGAAGAAACCAAGACGGGAAAGGAAACAUAUUAUGGUUAUAUACAGGACAUAUGGGAACUUGACUAUCGACGUGGUUUAAAGGUCCCUUUGUUUCGGUGCAAAUGGGUCAAUAUGACAUGAGGCGGGGUAACGGAAGACCCGCAGUACAGAAUGACAAUAGUGGAUCUCAACAAUCUUGCGUAUGCAGACGAACCAUUCGUCCUAGCCAAUGAUGUGGCACAGGUUUUCUAUGUGAAGGACAUGUCUACCAAGCCAAGAAAAAGAAAAGAUAAGGAAGCGAAUGCAUCGUACGAUGAGCCAAAGCGGCACAUAGUUCUUUCUGGGAAGAGAAACAUCAUGGGAGUGGAUGACAAGACAGACAAGUCAGAAGAUUAUGAAAAGUUUGAUGAAAUUGCUCCAUUCAGAGUGAAUAUUGACCCGAGUAUCCCGUUAAAUGAUGAAGAUUUUCCAUGGUUACGGCGCAAAGGGACACACGCGAAGAAAAAGUUUCACACCCAAAGAUCUGGGAUGUGAUCGGCUUCACUAGCUAUCAUCACUUUCUUCUGUGUUUCUCACCAAGAGGGGAAUCUCUGUAAUAGUUAGGGUAGUUAUGUGUUUUGGCAUUUGAAAUGCGAAGAAAUUUUAUGUGCAAACAAAUUCACACUAAUUUCAAAUAAUUCAAAAUUUAAACUAUUCAAAUUUGAAAACUAUGGGCACUAACAGAAAGUUUGUAAUUUUUUGUACCUAAAGAGGUUGUGUAAGCCUCCGGUCAGGCUAUGGCCCCACCAUCACCAUUUAGUGCCGGUUCAUGUUUUGGCAUUUGAAAUGCGAACAAAUUUUAUGUGCAAACAAAUUCACACUAAUUUCAAAUAAUUCAAAAUUUAAACUAUUCAAAUUUGAAAACUACGGGCACUAACAGAAAGUUUGUAAUUUUUUGUACCUAAAGAGGUUGUGUAAGCCUCCGGUCAGGCUAUGGCCCCACCAUCACCAUUUAGUGCCGGUUCGUACCACGAACCGGUACUAAUGAGGUUGUGUCAGGUAAGUCUGGGGCCCCACGAGCACCUUUAGUACCGGUUCAUGGAUGAACCAGACGUAAGCUGUUUUUUAGUCCCACCUCGCGAAGUGAGAGGGACUAGGAGCGGUUUAUAAGCCCUGAGUGCAGAGACGAUGAACAAGAGGAUCAAUGCUCACGUUGCUUAGCUUCAAGCCUUCAGGAAUACGGUAGACUGCACGGAGCUAUGCGCAGUGCAGUUUACACUAUUCCGAAAGGCUUGAAGCAAAUUAACGAGCAUUGCACCUCUUUUUUAUUUUUAACAACUUAUUAAAACUCCGGACUUCUUCUGUUAUGGCAAAAACUAAUUGCACGUCGACAUUUCUUUUUUUUAAGUUAUAACUCCAGACUUUGACCAUCAUGUUUUGCAGAAAAGAAAAAAUAGCAAAAAAGAAAGAAAAACUAUAGCUGAAAAGAAAAAAAACUAUAUAAAAAAACUACUCAAAAAUAAAUAGAAGAAAAUAAAUAUAGCAGAAAAGAAAAAACUAUUCAGAAAUAAAUAGAAGAAAAAAUAAAGCAGAAAAGAAAAAAAAUUAUAUUUGCUAUUUUUCAAUCGUUUACAAAAUGACCGUGAAAUUGAAAAUCACUACAAAAUGAACUCUGAAAAUGUUGAAUUUUGGCAAACUAGAUGAAAAACUACUCACAAAUAAAUAGAAGAAAAGAAAUAUAACAGAAAAGAAAAAACUAUACAAAAAACUAUGCAAAAUAAAUAGAAGAAAAUAAAGCAGAAAAGAAAAAAACUAUAAAAAAAA